rnacentral:lncRNA from 1 species
AGUAGAAAAAAGUAUCCAAAAUUAAUCGAUCAACGCCGCUGGGAUGUCCAACUUUUUCUCCAAGGCGGAGGUGACAAGCAGCGGCCGCCCUGUCCUCCUACGCAACGAAGUCGAAUGCCACCUUCUCUCCGCCGUCGACCUCGAACCUGAAGACCACCGUCACUUCUCCCUCUUAAAAUCGGGUCUCCUCAUCCUCACCACCCACCGCCUUAUCUGGCUACCUUCUUUGUCCGCCUCCACCCCUACUUCCGCCUCAGCCAUCCCUCUUGCUGCCAUUUCCCACAUCUUCUCUUCCAAAAAAUCUCUAAAGUCAGUCUUCCACUCCCCUAGGAUCCGCUUCCAAGUCCUCGUCUCGUCCGAUGGUCGGGUCUUCGAUCCAGGAUCCGAGUCUGGUUCCAGUUCAGGUUCAGGCUCGAGAUCAGUCGUAGUCACGGCAGUGAUUAGAGGGAAGGGGGACUGUGAUGGGUUUUUGGUGAAGUUUUGGGACAGUUGGCGGGCGAGAGCUUGGGAGGCUACUGAGACUUCAGAUUCCGGCUCAGCUUCGGCUUCGGGUUCAGGGGCAGCCACAGGAACCGGUGGAGGGUUGUACUCGAGUGAUGGGUCGGUGAGGAUGGUUGGGGUGGCGGGUAUUUUAAGGAAGGAGCAAGAAAUGUGGGAGAGUACUGAUAAGAGUUUGCAGGAUGCUUUUCAGGACUUAAAUGCUCUCAUGGUAAUGCAGAUAAUUUGUUCCAUUCUGACGAUUUGGAUUUAGUUUUUAUGUAAAUUUUGUAUUAUAAAUACUUUUAAUUUCCUAGUAGUUAACAAAUUGCAUUGAAGAAUAUAGCAGCUACUUGGUUUAGUCCCUGCUAUGAUUGACAUUGGUGAAUGCUAGUGGACCAUAUCAUGAUUUAGGAUAUAAGAAAAUUAAACUUUUGUGUCAAUGCCAUGUAUAAAAUGAUUUGAUUAGGCUUAGUUUAGUUCUGUCGUUUUAUCGCAAAGAUAGGUUCGGAGCUGUAGUUAAUGAAUAUGAUGUUAGUAGUCUCUCUCUUUUGCUUGUUUUCUUACAUUCCAAUCAUUCAAGUUUUAGAAUGCUUUCGGGUUUUCAGAGUAAAGCUAAAGAGAUGGUGAUGCUAGCAGAAAAAAUGAGACAAAAGCUUUUGUCCGGAACGAGUUCUCAAACAAGUGGAACAAAUGAUGAGGAUAUGGGUUCAAAGGAAGAGAUGCAAGAUUGGUUGUUGAGUGUUGGCAUAAUAUCCCCAGUCACUAAAGAGUCUGCAGGUGCCCUGUACCAUCAACAAUUGUCCCGUCAGGUUCUCAUCUCUCCUCUUUUCCCCCUUGUUAGUUUUAAUUUAUUCGCUUAAUAAUUUUUCUCAAUAGAGUUUAGUUUAUCAUUCUGUUAAUACAAUCAAUGUUCAUAGAAUUCAGGAAUUCUUUUAUGGUUUAUUUGGCUCUAAAGAAAUCCUUAGAGUAAGACGGUUUUGUAGUUCGGGAUUAGUUGAUUACAGUUUUGUGAUUCAAGACUUCGACGACAAAAUACUCCCAGAAGAUAUUUUACUUUUUAUUUUGCUUUAUGCUUGCAUAUCCCAGGGAUUCUUCAAUGAAAAUAUAAAAUUAGUCAUCCAAAAUUUUAUUAUUGAGUUGGUAAAUGACUUGCUAUGUAUAGUACAUUGGCUUUUGGCUUUUACUUGACUUUCUUUUUAGAGCUAGUUUUGAUUUUAUUUCUUGGCACCUCAGCUGGCAGAUUUUGUGAGAAUUCCACUGGAGAGAGCAGGUGGAAUGAUCAACCUUAUAGAUGCCUAUUGUCUCUUCAAUCGUGCUCGUGGCACAGGUUUGGUUUAACGCUAACUUCAUCUCUUGUGGUCAUUGUAUUUAGGUUUGUUUAGUUACGUUGUGAACUUGAAAUUUCUUAAUCUAAUUUUUGUUGUUGAAAAUAUUAUGACCUACAAAAUAAGUGUUUUGGCCAACGUAGUUCUCCUUUCUUUUUCAAAGGAAGAAGGAAACUUUCAAAAACAUUGUAGUAGUAGAUCUUUAUGUAAUUAACAUCUAAAGCUACAACAUUUAAUGGAGGCUUGAAAGUAGUUUGAAGUUCUCUUUAUAUUUCACGGAUGCUAAAUUUUUUUUAGAUCUUUUCCAAAAAAAUCAGACCGAAACUUUGGAUUUCCAGCGGCCAACAAUGUUUAAUUCUUUCGAAGUUGCGGUAAAGAGAAGAUGUAUUAUCUCCAUUAACAUAUUCUUCUUCUUCAUCAUCAGUCCCAGAUUGUGGCAUAUCUCCAUCAAUAUAUUUUUAAUAACUGCGGGCAUUUUCAACUUUGCUUAAUUAAGCCUUCCUUUUGUUGUUCUAAAUUCAUGUUGCACGCAUAACUCAAUUGUGAAGAUUUCUUUGACCUCACAAUCUUAUCUUGUGGUUGAUGCUAAACAUUCCUUUCUAGAACUGGCUAAAGCCUGUUCUUUUGAGUUCUGUAACAUUGAUUUUUCUUUAUUAUGAUUUUUUUAUGCUUUUUGUAAGCAAAGAGGACAUUCAAAUUAAUGAAGUUUUUAUUCUGUGUAAAAUAAUUUAAAUGUUUCUGUCCCUGAAUGUAUUUCAUCCCACUCAGAACCCGUUCUUUUCUUUUUUCUAAUUCGCUUAAAUUUCCGGAGUAUGCCAUUGUUUCAUGUACUUUCAGUAUUUUGAAAGCUUUAUGAAAAUAACUGGCUUCUGGCUUCUUUGUACCUCUUUUUGUUCUCAGAAUUGAUCUCUCCAGAUGAUAUGUUGCAAGCGUGUUCUUUGUGGGAGAAAUUUGAUGUGUAUGUAUGAUACUAUUAUCAUUUUCUUAAGUUUACAUAAUGAUAUUAAGAAAUCAUACUUGGCGUUCGAACUCUUUGAUCAUAUUAUGCAUUGUUUAACAGUCCAGUGAUGCUUAGGAAGUUUGAUAGCGGAGUUAUGGUGAUCCAAAACAAGUCCCAUAGUGAUGAGGAGGUAAUCCAUUUCAAUUUCUGUCUUUGAUAAUAUUCUUUUUCAGUUUUAUAUUAAAGAAUUUUCCUUUCCUUUUUUCUAUUAGCCCUGUUUUCCCUAAUUGAAACGAAUUCAAUGCUUUUGAAAGCUGUUUGCUAAAGAAAGAACUUACCUGUCUUUUUCGUAAUAGUUUCCUUGAAUCUUUCUGAAGGGGAGAAUCUUGUAUGGAACUUGAACAAUGCUAAAUCACUUUAUUGUAAAAAUAUGAUAGCCUGAAAGGUGAUAGAUUACUGCUGUGUUUGUCUCCAACAAGACACGCCAAUUAUUAGAAGUUUAAACUUUCAACUUGAAGGUGUAAGGUUGAAAUCUGUAGGAGUCACAGUUGAUGGGAUGGGAGAGGUCUAUCAUAUUGAUGUUGGGCCAUUCUGUCAUUUGCAAAUAGAUUUUAAGUUAAACACAUAUAUGCAUGAUUGAUAUACUUUGCUGGAAAAAGGUAGAAGCGUAUUUUGUUCACUACUUUAACUUUAACCUGAAACAUAACUUGUCUGUUCAUCCGUAGGUUUUUGCUAGAAUCAAAAGCCUUGUGACUAAGCCUGAAGCGCUUCUAACUGGUAUAAGCCCAACUGAUGCUGCAAUGACAUUAGGGAUUGCUCCGGCCAUGGCCAAGGAGCAUCUUCUAACUGCAGAGAUCAAAGGUACAAUCUGCUUUGCUUUCUCUUUAAAUAUGUCUAAGUUGCAAAUAUUUAUUAUUUACUUGUGUAUUGGCAGGUUUGCUAUGCAGGGAUAUAAGCCCCGAUGGCUUUCGGUUUUAUAUUAACCUGUUUCCUGAAAUUGACCCAUGUAAUAUGUAUUUGUAAGUCUUAUGCUUCUAAUUAAUUUAAAGACCUCCCUUUACUGUAUGUAAUUCCCAUAUUUAUAUCAGAAUUGGUGUUUUUUACUAAAAAAUGUUUUUUACUUUUUUAUCAUAAACAUGGUAAAAGUACCAUGGAGGUUCUUGUACUAGGAGUCCAAUUGCAUUUUGCCCUCUCUACUAAAGAAAAGGGCAAAUUAGUCAUUAUACAUUAGGUCAAAGAGUAAACUGGUUCUUCUGUUAAAAAAUCCAUCCAUUUUUAUUGUUAAAAACUAGUCCUAGUACAUCAGCAUGAGGUACAUGUGGUUAUUUUAUCAGCCACUCCAGUUUUUAAGAGUUGAAAUGGAUUAAAUUUUUAUUAGAAAGGAUCAGUUUUCUCUUUGAUCUAACGUAUUCGGACUAAUUUGCCCAUUUUUUACUAGAGGGUAAAAUGCAAUAUGACUCCUAAUACAGGGGCCUCUAUGGUACUUUUACCUCAUAAACAGUGAAAAUUAAAUUCACCCAUCUUAUUCUUAUGUACAUGGCUUUUAAAUUUUGUAGUGUGAAGAAUUAUGGGAUCUGCAGUACUUGGAUCAAAGCAGUUUCUACUACCGGUAAGAAUGCCUUUCUAAAUCAAUUCAUAUCGAUAUUUACAGAUUGAAGUAUUUAGGCAGUCCUUAUACUAUAGUCAAAAGUAGCAUAAAACUGAGUAAUUUAAUCUUUAAUAGAAAUUCAUUUGCGCCAAUACCAGAUGUACAGGGAUUAAAUUACUUGGUUCUAUAAUGCAAUGUUAAAUUGUACUUUUGCCUAUAGUACAAAGACUAUCUUAGAUACUCCGGUCAUGCAUGGCUUUGUGCUGCUGGUAUACUUAAAAAACUCAGCUCUUACCUUGUUUCUACUCGAUGCUUUCUUCUUUUUUAUCUUUUAGGUUGAGAUAAAGGCUUUAGAUUUCCAGAAGCAUGAUCUCAUACCACUUCCGUGUGAUCGAUUAUGAUAAUGGCAACAGCAACAUGAAGGAAACCUGUAAGGGUAAACUGAUUGGUCCUUCAAUUAAAGAUUGCAAUACGGAUAAUAUAUAGAGAGUUCAUUGGGUGUAGAGAGAGAUCGAUAAUAUAUGCAUGUUUUUACAUGUUUAUGUAAUAAGCUUGUCAAGGUAUUCAAUUGAGUUAUAUUUCUAUAGUUUCAGUCUGUUUUAAGAUAAAAACCCUGAAUUAUGCACAGUUACUUUACGUGUUUGGUUUGUAGAAAAUGUGCUUAAUUUCCUUAUUUAUAUCUGAGGUGCCUUUUUCAUAAUUUUUUUUUAGUUAAAUUGAUAUUUUUAGUGCUGAUUAAAAAGGAUUAGGUGCAUAAGCCAUUUGAGUGUAUUUGAAUGUUCAAACACAGCCGUUUUGAUCAUUUCAACUCAAGCUUGGCUCAUAUUAUGAAGCCGAGUUUCAUAUUUUUCUAAAAGAAUGCAUUUCAUCUAGUUUUAAUCUCCUUUGUUUUCUUUUCGGGCAAGUAAAAUUGAUUUCCUUACAACAAAUGUGAAACAAUGGUUACAUGUAACAGACAUUAAAAGCAUCCAUCAACAUCAUCCAUCCACUUGCGGAAGCAAUUGAAUUCUAACCGUAGAUUUUCUUUUUACCCUUUUAGAGCAUUGAAAUUAGACUUGUCCAUGGGCCGGGCGGCUUGGCCUGGCCCGACGGCCCGCCCGAAAUAUGGGAGGGUUCGGGUAAAAAUAUAGGCCCGAAAUAUGGGUUUGGGCAAAAAAACGAGGCCCAUUUUAAAAAUGGGUCGGGCUCGGGCUCAACUUUUUUGGCCCGAGCUGGCCCGGCCCGAAUAUAAUAAAUAUAUUUUUUAUUUUUAUUUUUUAAUUUUAAAAUACUUUUAAAAUAUUUUUUUAUUUUUAAAAUAUUUUUUGUGUUUAUUAAAAAUCGGGCCGGGCUGGGCUGGGCCCGGGCAUAAUAGUUGGGCCAAAAAAUUUUCCGGGCCCGGUCCGAACCCUGCCCAGCCCGGCCCAUGGACAGGUCUAAUUGAACUAUUGAUAACGAAAUUCAUUGACCCUAUCUUAUUCUAUGAUAUAUGAACCGAGUCUGACUCAAACUUACCUCUUCUUUUUGGAGUUAUAUCCUUCAUUCGAUUUUUAUUUAUUAUUUAUUUUGCGAUAUAAAAAUAAAUAUUUUAGAGAUAUUUAUAAAAAAUAAAUUGUCAAAUAAUAUUCAAAAAUCAUAAAAUAAAAUUUAAUAUGAAAAAAUCGAGAUGUGUCCUUUACUCUUUGUCUCGGUACCUUAUCUUUCAAUAUUUUCACUUUUACCCGUAUCUUUUACUUAGAUCCAAUAUUAUCUUCUAAUUUCUCCUUUUUAAAUUUAAAAUACUAUUUCUACAUUUAUAUGUGCCCGAACCCGAGAGCUUGGCUAUUGGCUUCAACGCAUAUCUAUAUUUUUAAAAUUUAAAAAAUAAAUAAUUAAAAACAUUUUACGAAAAAAAAAUCACAAACUCUUUAAAAUUAUUAAAUUAAAAUAUUAUUUUUUUAUAAUUGGUGAAAAGGAUUGAGGUUGCUUGAGAUUAAACCGAAACUCUUAUAUCUACAAUAUAAUUUUUUUGUCACUCAACUAAAAAAUUGUUGGCAUAAAAAAUUUAUAUUAAAUCUUCAAUUAACACAAUCUCUAAAUUCAAUUAUUAAGUAACUUCUAUCUUUUUUCUUCUUCUUCAUAUAUGUAAAAAAUAACUUUUCGGAGACGUUUAGUUCGCCACAUAAUGAUAUAUUCCGAAAUGAGAUCACGAUAUUUAGAUUUCAACAUUCGAACCAUUCGAUAUUACAUUACAACUUCCUCUUUGACUAAUCCGGACAGAAUCUAAAUUUUAAAAUAAAAUUACCAUCUCUUUCUUUUUUUUUCAUUUUCUUUCUUUGAUAUUUUCCUAUAAUUUUCGUUUUUAGGUAAGUUGACUUGAUUUUCGAAGAUUUUUUUCUUCGCUGGAUCUCGUGUUUAAAAUGUGGCCUUAAUUACAUGGGCCUAAGAUUUAUUCUUUCUGCUGUGAUCUUUAGGCUAAUAUUUCUACCAUUUGUCUAUGUGCCAUAUAUUGCUUUAGAAACCCACCAUUUCAUCAUUAAAAAAAUGAAAAUAAUAUAUGGCCUAUGCUGUCUAGAUAUGAUGACGAUGCAUUUAUAAUCGAAGUAGGAGAAUUUCGAAGACAGGUUAACAAAAAUUUUGUGAGACUGUUCUUGGUUGGCUUCUCUUCUUCUUCUUCUUCUUUAAUUUAAGUUAUUUCUAUAUUUAGUGGUUUAAUAAACUAAGAGCAAAGAGAACAAAGAAAGAAAAAUUACUUUAUAUAUUUCAGAUUCAUAUGUUUUAAUUUCUUUUCUUACUGUUAAUCAAAUACCUAAAUACAGGAUACCGUAAUCACUAAUCAAUAUAAAAUUUAGCCCAGCAAACCCUACUUCAUGUUAACAAAUGACAAAAGCAAUAUAAAAAAAGAAAAAAAAUUAUUUGAACAAUUUGUAUACCCCGAUCAUCUUAUCGUCGUCCUUUUGAUGCGACUAUUGUCAGCACUGAAACAUGCUAACCACAUAUGCUUAAAAGGCAAAGCUGAAAGAGCUAACAUAAUUGUCAUAUCCCAUGGCGGAAUCAACCAACCACUGCCAGUCGAUUGAUCCGGCCACAGGCUUUUGUUCUCAAACGAGAACCUUUCACAGUCUCAGACCGAAAGUACCUCUUCCACCACCUUAUCAGCCUCUCUCCCUCCCACAAUAUACUCUUUCCCUCCUCCGCUCCUCCACCGCCACCACCGGCGGCGGCGACACUACUUCGUCAUCAAUGCUACUAAAGGCGACAGCCUUUCGUACUCCGAAUUUACUGCUCAGUUCCACUCCCUCGCUCACUGUCUGCGAAAAAACUAUUUCUUUUCCAGAAACGACGUCGCUUUGAUCCUCUCCCCGCCUUCUCUUCAUGUCCCUUCGAUUUAUUUCGCUCUUAUGUCAUUAGGAAUCGUUAUUUCUCCCGCCAAUCCACUCAGUUCCGACUCGGAGAUAGCUCACCAGGUUCAACUCAGUAAAUCGAUUAUUGCCUUCGCCACCUCAACGACCUCUACCAAGCUUCUGUCUCUCAAACACGGAACAAUCCUCCUCGACUCGUCCGAGUUCAUUUCGUUAUUAUCCGAACCAAAUGUGGAUCCUGACGUCAUUAACCGAGUCCAGGUGAGCUAGCAUGACACAGCGGCGGUCCUUUAUUCUUCGGGGACCACCGGCCGAGUCAAAGGCGUGAUUCUGAGUCACCGGAAUCUAAUCGCGUUGAUCGCCGGGUUUUACCACAUACGACACCCCCAAAAGGGUCCAGAUCCACCGCACCCGGUAUCGUUUUUCACGGUGCCUUUGUUCUAUGUGUUCGGGUUUUUUAUGCUAGCGAGGGCGUUUUCGAUGGGAGAAACGACGAUUUUCACAGAGAGAUUUGAAUUUGAGGGAAUGUUGAGUGCGAUGGAGAAGUACAAGGUAACGUACAUGCCAGUUUCGCCGCCGCUCGUCCUGGCGUUAACUAAAUCAGAUUUGACUAACAAGUAUGACAUCAGCUCACUUCUGAUGCUCAGAAGCGGCGGCGCUCCGCUUGGCAAGGAGGUUGCUGAGCGGUUCAGGGAGAAAUUUCCUACCGUGGAGCUUUGUUCAAGUAAGGAAACUGCAACUACUUAAUAACAUCAUAUGCACAUUCACCAUUCAUAACAGUAAGGAAACAACAACCACUUGAUAAUUUUAUUAAAUUAAUAGUGAGAAUAGAUGAAAUUAAAAAUGAAAUUUUCCCUUUCAUCUAACGAAUUUGUUCUUUGAGAAAAUGCAAUAUAACUCCUCCUUCUUAUACAUUCACUCGUGAUGGUCUCUCCAAGUGACUUCAUUUUCAAGGUUGAAAUUUGAGCUUCCAGUGCAACGUGACUUAUAAUAUUGGUUGAAAUUUGUGCUUUUAAGCGGUGGAUUUUAUGUAAAUUUCCCCAUAAUUAGGUGAUGCUUUAUGUAGUAAUUAUCCAAUCAUAAUCUUGCAUUAUAUAAGACCUACGAAAAUGUUACAUGAAACUUGUGCUUUUAAUUUCGUUUACAAUCAAUUAAUUCAUACCCAACCCUCUGGUGAUGCACUAAAGGUGAUUGUUAAUACCAGCCCUGAGUUUAGUUCAGGCACAAGUUUAGGGGUUUAAAUUCUUAUUUUGAUUCGUUUUUGUUUGUGCUUAAGGCUUAUGGGCUGACAGAGACAGGAGGAGGAGUUGCCAGGGUGAUAGGGCCCGAGGAGACAGCUCGGUACGGGACAGUCGGUCGCCUUUCUAAAAAUACGGAAGCCAAGAUAGUUGAUCCAUUGACCGGAGAAGCCUUGCCUCCUGGGCAGAGAGGGGAACUAUGGUUGCGAGGGCCAACAGUAAUGAAUGGUAUUUACUUUUUGUUGCCUUUUAUUUUCUAGUGUUAGGAAUGGCUAUUGUGGAAGUUAGGUUUAUGAAAAGUACUUGUUUUUUUUCAUAAUCUUUAGGCUUAUAAAAGUAUGUAACUUGACAUUACAUACAUUAGUUGACUUAAAAACGGAAAGGUUAUGAUAAAUUUAGUUUUUAAUAUUUAAUUUUUUUUAUUAAUUUAAUUUUUAAUCUUUUUUUAAGUUAAAUUUAGUCAUUAAUCUUUAAAAAGGUUUGUAAUCACUGAAUUUUGCCCGGGUAGGGUUUUGGGCCGGGCUGGUCUCAUAUGGGCCCAAUAAUUGGGCCUGUUGGGAUUUAAUUUUGGACUUGUUUUUGCCCAUUUUUAAUUUUUGUUUUAAAUAUUAAUAAAAUAGUAAUAAUAAAAUUUGAAAAAAAAUGCAAAAAAUAAAAAUUACGUUUUAACCCCUGUACGUUUUAAAAUUUACAUUUUGACCCCAAAAUUUUCUAAAAUUACAUUUCAACCCCAAAACUUUCUCAAAAUUACACUUUGACCCCUAAACUUUCUAAAAAUUACAUAUUGACUCUAUAUUUUCCCAAAAUUACAUUUUUACCCCAAAUAUUUUGUGUCUUCUACGUUUUGGUCCCUCUGGACUUGUCAAAUCACCCAAUCGGCAUCCAAGCAUGCUCCUGCCACUUCCAGCUACUCCGGCAGCUCCCUAGGCCAUGAUUUCCUUCCCCUGUCACCUAAAAACAAAGAGGAAGAAGACAAAUUUGAGGGAUUAAAAAGAAAAAUUGAAGAGAAAGGGGAGGGGGAUUUUUGUUUUAGCAAUCAAAAAAAAAAAAACAACCGAAGCAAAAAAAAUUUCAAAACAGCAGCAGCUCCUGCCGUCGCACCAGCGCCACCGUGCCCACCACCGCAGCACCACCAUCGCCCACACCUAGCAAAGCAAGCAAGAAUCCAAAAAAGAAAAAAAAAACAACAAGCAAAAUCCAAAAGAAAAAGAGAGAAAAGCUUCGAAAAAAAGAGAGAAAAAGGAAGGAAAGGAGAAGAGAGGAGGGGAAGAGGAGAGCCCGACCACAGCCACCGAGGGCGGAGGAGAUCGGCGCAGGCGGCGGCGGUGAAAGAGGCUAGAGCCGAAAGAGGGAAGGAAGAAGAAGAGAAGAAAGAAAGAAAAAAAAAUAAAAAUAAAACAGUCGGGUCGACCCGACCCGACCUCCGUCCGACCCGGAUUCGUCCCGUGCCCGACCCAGCCAGCAGGCCUGACCCAGCAGGCCCAGCACACCUAGGCCCAAGCAGCAGAGGAGAAGGAAAAAAGAAGAAAAAGGCCUGUCCAGCAGCAGGCCCAACUCAGGCAGUCCAGCAGCAGCAUAGCAGGCCCUCCAGCAGCAGCCAGGCCCAGCGUCUAGCAGCCGGCAGCCCACUGCAGUCAGCAGGCCAGCAGUAGUCCAGCAGGUCCAGUCCGCCCAGCAGCCCAGCGACGCAGCCCAGCAAGCCCAAGUCCAACAGGCCAGCCCAAAAAAAAGGAAAAAUGAAGAAAGAGAAAAAAAGAAGAAAAAAAGAAAAAGGCCCAAAAUUCAAGCCCAUAACUUUGGGCUUUUGGUAAUUUCUUUAAAUCCAUUUUAAUUUAGUCUAUUUAUUUAAAUAUUGCUCCAUUUUAAUUAAAUUAACAUUUUAAAAAUAAUUUUUUAAAAUAUUAUUAUAUUCAUUUUAUUUGCAUGUUUAAAAUAAAUAAAAAAUAAAAAUUAUUUUAAUGCAUAAGGCAACGGACCGAUUUAACAUCAAGCCGUUGAUUUCAUCGCUAUGUUGGGUGAAUAUCGAUAACUCGUGUUAAAUACGGAACGUCCUUCUAAAAAUUGAAAAUAUUCAAAAAUUCUUGUUUUUUUAUAAAAAAAAGAGUUUCUCGUGUUUUAAUAGAAUCACGAUUAAAUAUUAAGUUGAAUCGAUUUGACACUAAAUCGACGAUUUCAUCGCCAUGUUGGGGUGAAUAUCAUCGAUUCGUGUUAAAUACGGUACGUUUAAAAAAAAGUUCAUGUUUUCAAAAGUUUUCAUGUUUCCAAAAUUUCCCGUGUUUCAAAAAAUAAUAAUAAAAUUUCUUGUGUUUCAAAAAAAAUAUAUUCGUGUUUUUAAAAAAAAUAAUUUUCGUGUUUUCAAAAUUUCUCGUGUUUUAAAAAUUUUCGAUUUUUCUCGUUUUCAAAAAUUGUCGUGUUUUAAAAAAAAUUCGUGUUUCUAAAAUUCUUGUAUUUUAAAAAAUUCGUGUUUUCAAAAAAGGAAAAAGUUGUUGUGCUUUAAAAUUCUCGUGUUUCAAUCGGAUCACGACUAAUAUUAAAUUGAACUCGUAUUUUUUGAAAAUGAAGACAACGCGCGUUUAACGAUAUAUUAAUUUUGGGCGUCGCGAGGGUGCUAAUAUCUUCCUCGCGCGUAACUGACUCCCGAACCCUAAUUUUUUUUGGAUUUUAACGUGAACCUAAAAUCGAGUCUCUUUUAGAAAAUUUGAAAAAUAAUUUUUCUUCUAAAAAGAGAAUUUAUUAAGUGUCCGAUCAUACCUAGGAAAAAAGAUCGGUGGCGACUCAUUUUUCAAAUAAAAUUGAGAUUCGAUUUUUAAGUUUUCAAUAAUUACUUCGAUUAGCGCCCGUGCGAAGAUUUUUAGGUCGCUACAAGGUUAAUUUAAUUUUUUUAAUGAAAAUAUGUUUGGUGUCUGAAAACGUAGGUUACAUAGGGGACAAAAAGGCAACCGCGGAAACAAUGGAUUCGGAAGGGUGGUUAAAAACUAGGGACAUAUGUGAUUUUGACCCACAAGGAUUUCUCUACAUCGUAGAUAGAUUAAAAGAAUUGAUCAAAUACAAGGCAUAUCAGGAGAAUCAUAUAAAUGAUGUUUGCUCUAUCAUCUUUUUAUGACUAAAACAAUCUCAUUUUUUAUUUGCAGGUCCCUCCAGCUGAAUUGGAACAUUUACUUCAUUCCCAUCCCGAAAUCUCCGAUGCAGUCGUCAUUCCGUAUAUAUCGUAUUUAUGUUGCUCCGACUUUUACUUAGCCAAAUCUGAAAAUGUAGGGAAAAAAUAUACUCGUAUGAGACGCAUCCGACUAACAUAGUUUUACAUUGUUUUCUCAUUUUUCUUGUGAAUGAUUUACAUCUCAGUUAAAAUCUGCCUCGAUGAUUAAGUCUUGGGAAUAAUUGAUAAUUAUGUUAUUUUGAUUUUUCAUUAAACUUUUGAAAUAUUUGAAGCAUAUUUGGAUAUAGGAUUUAUAAAUAAAAACGAAACAUGAUCAUCUGAAGAUAUGCUCAUAUCCGAGUAAUUCAUAAGGGAGAGUCUUAAGGUUUGAACUGAAUCAAACUUGUCAGUUUGACUGGAAAUUGGUCAAGAUAUCAGCCCGUAGAAGGACAUUAAACCGGAUGACCCAGGAACUAAUAGAAACUGGUUGAAUCGGGCAAAAAUCAGUUGAACUAGGUAGUUUAACCAGAUUAUUAAUUUUUUUUUAUUUUUUAUAAAUUUUUAAUGAUAUAUUUAAUUGAACCGGUGAUUUGAUCGGUUUAAUUAGUUCUGGAAACCUUGAAGAGUCCGGUUCUGUAUUUGAUGCAUUCUAGAUGUAAGUAUGGAAAUAUGAUCCUUUUUGUGUUUUAAUUGAGGUGUUGCUUAUGAGGUCUUAGCAUUGCUGGUUAAUGGAGGAGGUUUUGAGUCGGGUUAGAAUCUCACCAUGUGCAAUUAUAAUAUAUGAAUAUCCAGUUCUAUCUAUGUCAUGUAUAGUUUUUAUCUAUAUAUAUAUUAGUUUAAUUUUAUGUUGUACGUAGAUAUAUGAAUGUGAUAUGUUUAAAACUAGGUACCUGAUGAAGAAGCCAGGCAGAUACCUAUGGCCUAUAUAGUGAGACAGCCUGGAAGUAGUAUCAGUGAAGCUCAAACCAUAGAUUACAUCGCGAAACAGGCAUGCUUUAUUUUGUAUAUUUAUUUUGCUAAAAUAACAAGAGGGAAUUAGCCUUAGGCUGUAUAUUACGGCAACCUAAUCCGGAAACUGGUUUUAUUCUCUCGCAGGUUGCACCGUAUAAGAAGAUCCGACUAGUUGCUUUUAUCGAUUCAAUCCCAAAAUCUCCCGUCGGAAAGAUCUUGAGGAGGGAGCUGGUUAAUCAUUCUUUAUCUGCUGGUCUGUCUAAAUUAUAAAUGUGUACGGAACCGUAUGAAAGGGAGACUAUUGCUUUUUUCAUCUUUGCAUUUGAGAAGCAACUAACUAUGGGUUAUAAGAUUUCUACAUUUCUUGUUUAUUUUAUUUUAUUUGCAACAAUUAAUUUCUCAAUUAAUUAUUUGAUCGUAUAAACAUUUUGUUUUAAAAAAUUUAUAAUCGAACUGGAGAUAUAUAUAUAAUAGAAAGCUAGAGGAACAAAAAUACAAAAUGGUGUAGCAAAAUUGAGUAAAAAUCAGUUGUAAUCGUUAAAUUCAAUUUUGUUAGUUUCGGUUAAAUGAAUUAAAGACUUGUUAUUGGUUAUAAAAAUUUAUAGUCAUACAAUUUCAUAUCUAUUAAAAGGGACGUGUAAGUUAUUUUAAACAUAAGAAGAAGAAAAAUAUUGAACCAAUAGAAAAAACAAAUAAUUAGUAGUGUCGUUGGAUGCCAAUUUCAUCAAGUUUCAAGUACGCGACACAACAUUCUAAACUUAGGCUAAGAUCUAAUUAUUAUUAUUAUCUGGACAGUCAGUUGGUAGCUAGUGUUUCUAUUAUGAAGUAGUUAAAUUGGUUGUAUAAAUAAGUAGAUUCUUAUAUUUAACUGAUAGAAUGAGGUAACCAAGAUUUCUGAGUAUUCGUUGAUGUUAACAAACAUGGUGCAAAUUGAUGAUGCUUCGAUUAUUGGUACAAGUCCUAAAGGUUUCAUAAUUUACAAAUUUAUAUUGAAAUUACCAAAUCCAUUCCUUCUUAAUUUAUUAUCAAUGAAUUUGGUCAGAAAGUUUGAUCAGCAAAACAACGCUCUUACUUGAUUUGGUUAAUUGCUAUUUUAAUACUCUGAUUAUUUUUAAUUUAAUCCAAAUCUAAUAUAUAAGUACCGAAUUAUACGACGCUUAAUCCAAGUCUUUAAUCCAGAUUCCACUAAUCAAAUAAGCAAACUAGUUUUUUACUUGCUGUCUUGUCUUUUUAACCGCUAGAUUUCAUCAACCAAACAAAUCAACGGCUGAGAUGAGUUUCAAAUAGUAGCGGGUAAAGUAUCCUUUUGGGCCUUUUAAAUAAGGAAAUGAGCUUCAACGCUUAGCCCAUUAAUUUUCACAAAUUUCUCUCAUUUUUCAUUUUUCAUUUUCUUUGUCUUUCACUCGCAUUUUCUCUCUCUAUUUGCUUGCCCUGCGAAUCGAAGAUUCGUCGAAGAGUGAGAGAGAGGGGGGACUUCAGUUGAAUUUGUGAAUAAUUGGUUAUUUUUUUACUUUUGGCCUGUUAAUGAGUGGAACUGGUGUAUUUUUUUUUAAAUUGUAUAUUAUUGGUAUACAGAAAAUUGGAAAAAAAAGGGAAAAAAUUAUUGUAGAAAGGGGGUGCCGGCUAGGGGUGUGCAAAAUUCGGGUAAAACCGAAAAAAUUCGGUUAACCGACCGAAUUCGGUUAAUCGGUCGGUUAACCGAAUUUUUCGGUCGGGGGUCGGUUAAUUAUUUUUUGAUUUUUCGGUUAACGGUUAAUUCGGCUCGAAACCGGUUGGUUAACCGAAUUUUUUCAGUUUAACCGAAAAAAUUAAUAAAUAAAAUUAUAAUAUAUAAAUAGGUCCACUAUUUACCUAAACCAAAUCCAAACCCAAGUAUUCAACCCAAAUUUUUUUUCUUUUUUUCGGGUUUUCUAUAUACCUGUAAUAUACGGUUUAAAAAAAAAUGGGUUCUGGCCAUUGACAGGCCAGAACCAAAAAAAUCAUUUUUUAAGUCUGACACAAUUAUCAGGCAAUCAUGGGUCCAAAAUACCAGGUAGUGCCGACCAUUGAAAGGCCACAACCCCAUUUUACUGUUCAUUUCGGGUUAUUUUGGUGAAUGUUUUAAAACCUGAGUUAUUUUUAUAAAUAUAAAAUUUUUUGGAUUAUUUUUGUAAAAUAGCCUGAAUAAUUAAUCCAAUUCGUUUGAUUGACUUUGUGGAAUUUCCUUUUCUUUUUCUUGAUAAUAAAACACUUCCUCUUUUUUUUUUUCUAUUUUCGUUUCUCUUUUCUUUGCAUUUCGUUCUUCUUUUUAUUUGGUUCGAUCUAAUCUCAUUUCAAUAGAGUUUAUGCUUGGAACGAGCUUAGGUUAGUGUUUCUUUUUUGAAAGUGAAGCGAUCUCAAAACCUUAAAAUAAGAAAUAUAGAUGAACAAGAAGAACAGAGGAAGGAGACAAAUUCUGAUAUUUUUCUAGUCAAAAGAAGUUGCACCACCUUAUCCUUGUGAUCUUUGAUUUCUAAUGGACUCCUGUGCUUGACAUAGAGAUUCGGUGAUCUCACCGAGAGUUUAUUUAAUCUCAUUCAUAUCACUUUUUAGCUCGGCCCUCAGCUCCUUGAGCUCUCUAGCCCAAAUAUCAUCUUGCGGAGGGUUAGCGGGAGGGAUAUUAUCCUCAUCAUUCUUGCGCUGUGAUUUAGCGGCCUCACUACUCACUGAGCUCUCCAACCAAAUACGACAAACCUUCUUUAAUUUUCUCGAUCUCUUGAACUUGUCAUGUCCAGCAGGAGCUAGUUUCCAGUCCAAGCUUUCGCCAACCAAAUUUAUCACCUCACUGCGCAUAAAACUUUUUUCCUAGUAGUUGUUUUAUCACAAGACGUCUGAUCAUACCACCUGCUCCGGCUUCCUUCAAAAUUUGCCCAACACUUUCUCAAUUGUCGGCUCUUCUGUGGCUUCUGCAUGGACAGUCGGUGCUUUUGCGGCUUCGGCAUGGAUAGUCGGCACUUCUGCGGCUUUUGCAUGGACAGUCGACAUUUCUACGGCUUUUGUAUGGUCCGUCGGUGCUUCUGUGGCUUCUGCAUAAACCGUGGGCGUUUUUGAGGCUUCUAGUUCUCCAUGGACAGUCGGAAUUGUGGCAGUUUCUUCAACAACAACAUUAUUUCUCUCUAAGGAAAGCAACAUUGUUGCUGCUAUAUUUUCAUCCUCCUUUAUUUUCACUAUUUUGAAUUGCAAAAUGAAAAGAAUGAAGACGAUAAGGGAAGAAAAAAAAUGUAAGGUGAGGAAUGAAAAGCAUAAGAGAAAAUGAAGAGUAUAUAUAGAGUUAGGGGGCUCUCUGCUCUGAAAUACAAAGGUGAAAUACAAGGCACGAGAAGCUUCUUUCAUUUUUCUGUUAGUGGAGUAAUUAUGAGUAUGAGAUUGUACAAGAAGCUUUUUCUUUUUAUUUGGUUCGAUCUAAUCUCAUUUCAAUAGAGUUUUAUGCUCGGAACGAGCUUAGGUUAGUUUUUAUUUUUUGAAUGUGAAGCGAUCUCAAAACCUUAAAAUAAGAAAUAUUGAUGAAGAAGAAUAACGGAGGAAUGAGAAGAAUUCUGAUAUUUUUCUAGACAAAAGAAGUUGCACCACCUUAUCCUUGUGAUCUUUGAUAUCUAAUGGAUUCCUCUGCUUGACGCAGAGAUUCGGUGAUCUCACCAAGAGUUUAUUUAAUCUCCGUCAUAUCACUUUUUAGCUCGACCCUCAGCUCCUUGAGCUCUAUAGCCAAAAUAUCAUCUUGCGGAGGGUUAGCGGGAGGGAUAUUAUCCUCCAUUGCGGGAGGGAUAUUAUCCUCAUCAUUCUUGCACUGUGAUUCAGCGGCCUCCCUACUCACUGAACUCUCUAACCAAAUACGAUAAGCCUUCUUUAAUUUUCUCGAUCUCUUGAACUUGCCAUGUCCACCAGGAGCGAGUUUCCCGUCCAAGCUUUCACCAAUCAAAUUUAUCACCUCACUGCGCAUAAAACUUUUUUCCUAGUAGUUGUUUUAUCACAAGACGUCUGAUCAUACCACCUGCUCCGGCUUCCUUCAAAAUUUGCCACAACACUUCCUCAAUUGUCGGCUCUUCGGUGGCUUCUGCAUGGACAUUCGGUGCUUCUACAGCUUUGGUAUGGACAGUCGGCACUUCUACGGCUUCUCCAUGGACAGUCAACAUUUCUGCGGCUUCUACAUGGUCCGUCGGCACUUCUGUGGCUUCUGCAUUAAUCGUGGGCGUUUUUUAGGCUUCUAGUUCUGCAUGGACAGUCGGAGCUGUGGCAGUUUCUUAAACAACAACAUUAUUUCUCCCCAAGGAAAGCAACAUUGUUGCUGCUACAUUUUCAUCCUCCUUUAUUUUCACUAUUUUGAAUUGCAAAAUGAAAAGAAUGAAGACGAUAAGGGAAGAAAAAAAAUGUAAGGUGAGGAAUGAAAAGCAUAAGAGAAAAUGAAGAGUAUAUAUAGAGUUAGGGGGCUCUCUGCUCUGAAAUACAAAGGUGAAAUACAAGGCAUGAGAAGCUUCUUUCAUUUUUCUGUUAGUGGAGUAAUUAUGAGUAUGAGAUUGUAGGCUGGAUUUCUUGAAUAAAAUUAGCGGAACAAAUUAUAAUCUUCUCUCUGGCAUUGAUAGGCUUUAUUCUCGCUGAACGAGUUUCUCACCUUCCGGGGAUAGAUAGGCUGGGUUAGGAGCUAUGACAAUAGGAGUUUCAAUCUUAGGCUUUUCUGGGUACCCAGGCAAAAAGAAAGGGGCUUAUGUCUUCAGGUGCUUAUUGUUUUUUCUACGAUCGAGGGAGAGUGAAUGCUCGGAUUGAAUCUCUUGAGUGUGGUUAGAAAUUGCAUAAUACAUAAAAAAUUUUAAUUCCUCUAAUUCCUCCAGUCCCACCAAGAAGUUUGGCAUACAGAAAAUAAAAAAAUUUUGGUUGCUUGCCUGUCAUUGGCUGGCGCCCCUUUUAUACGGAAUUUUUUUUUCGGGUGUUAUUCUGUCAAUUGCUGGUACCAGAAUACAAAAAAAUUUUAAAAAAUUUGGGGGUGGCUUGGCAAUAGCCGACACUCCCUUUAUACAAAUCUUUUUUUUUUACUUUUGUUCUGUCAAUAGCCGGUACCAGUAUGCGAAAAAAGUAAAAAAAAAGUUUUUUGGGGACUGUCGACUUUUUUGAAAACAAAAAAUUUUAGGUUGUCGACUUUUUUAAAAAAUUAAAAUUGGGAGUCGCCACCAAUCUUUAUUAGGGUGUGAUUGGAUCACCUAAAAAACGGCUUUCGUCUACGAGUUUUAAAAAAACGGAUCCGGGAGUCAGUUAUGUAUGAGGAAGGAUUAGCACCCUCGUAACGCCCAAAAUUGGUACCUAGUUAAUUAAUUAGUGUCUUAAGGUCGAGAAUUUGGAAAAAACGUAAUUCUUAGCAAAACUUAAAAGGCUACGUAUUAAGACCCUUAUUAUUUUAGAGAAAGAAGAUACCACACCCAAUGCGUUAGGGCACAGCAUUCUAAUUUUCCCCAAAAUGAAUUGGGCCAAAAUACUUGCACAAUAAAAUUUUAAAAGAACAUCCACUUAUCCAAGAUUUAAGAAAUCACACCCAAUACGUUAGGGCACGAUUCCUCUAGAAUCCCAAACUCGGAAUAUUUCCUUUACUUUAAAAGAACAUCCACUUAUCCAAGAUUUAAGAAAUCACACCCAAUACGUUAGGGCACAAUUCCUUUAAAAUCCCAAACUCGGAAUAUUUCCUUUAUUGUUUUUAGAAAAAAAAUUCAUUUCGAGAAAUCAAUGCGUCACAUCCAAUACGUUAGGACACAACGUGUUGAAUUCCCAAUAAUGAAUUCUUAUUUUUUGAUUAAAGAGAAAUGCUCGAUUGUUAGACUUAACGAAGAAAAGCGGAACCCAAUACGUUAGGGCUCAAUUUCCUUGAAAAUCCUAAAUUCAAGCAUUCUCUCAAUUUUGAAAAGUUUGAAAUCGAGUAAAGAAUGAUGUGAUGCUAUAUUAAAUAUACAAUGCAAUAAUAAAUAUUACAAAGGCCUAGAAAUAAUAUAAAUAAAUGAAUAAAUAAAAUCAAUAUACAUAAUAAAAAUAAUCACAUACAAAAUAUCAAAUAAAUCAUAAAAAACAAUUCUUUUUAACAUAUAAACGAAAACAUGAAUUAAUAAUCGAAUGAAGAAAAUAAACAAAAUAUAAAGAAUAAAAGGCACAUAAUAUAUACAUUGAAAUGAAAAGCCAUACACAUAAUUUACAUAUGUAACUUUGGAUUAAAAUUUAUAAAAGCAGAAUAUAUAAUGCAUUUGUGAAAAUAAAAUAUAAAUUAUAAAGUAAGCGUUAAAAAAUACAUAUAUUUGAGCAUUCAAAAAAAAAUAUUCAUAUAUAUAUAAAAGUAUAUAAAAAACUGGUUAAAAAUAUUAAUAUGUAUACAUACAUAUAUAUACAAAGAUAAAUAUAACAUAUAUAGAUUAUAAAAAAUAAUUAUAUAUAAAUAAAAUAAAAUAAAAAUAAUUACCUCAUAUUAAAAAAAUAAAUAUGCGAAAAAUAUUAGUUUUAAAAAAUAUAUAUAAAUACGCACAUAGAAACAAGUAUACAUAUAUAUAGCUAAAAUAAUAAUAAUUACAUAUGAAAAUAAUAAUAAUAAUAAUAAUAAUUACAUUAACAAAAUUAACUAAUUUUAAGAAAAAUAUAAAAAGGAUUAAAUUGAACUACAAGUAAACAAAUUUGGGGUCAAUCUGUAAAUAAAUAGAAUUUGGAGGACUAAAUUGAACGAGCGAAUUACAUAGAGGGGCUGGAAGGGAAAAUUUCCCUUCUCCUCUAAAACGGUGUCGUUCAAAAGGAUUAAAUUGGAAUUUAAAAUAAAUAAAAGGGUAAAUUAAAAAAAUAAAGAAAACUUAAUUACAAAAACAUUAAAAGGUGGAGGGGCUAAAUAAAAAAAUAAAUAAAAUUCGCAGUGGUAUCACCUUCUCCCUUUUUAAAAUCGUGAAUAAGUAAAAAAAUUAAUCGAAAGAAAAAAAAUAGUAAGCCACCUUUAAAAAACUGCCAAUCGUUCUUUUUUAUUCCUCCUCAUCUUUUCUCAUUUUUUUCCUUUUUCAAUGAAGGGAGAGGCCUCUAUUUAUAGUUGAGCCUCCCCAAAUCCAAUGGUACAGAUCAAUUACAUCAACGGCUGAGAUUAAAGGGUAUCUACAAAUUAAAUAUCUAAGAUUACAAAAUCAUAUAUUCUAAGAUUGCAUAUCAUAUCUAAGAUUAUAUAUCAUAUCUAAGAUUGCAUAUCAUAUCUAAGAUUGCAUAUAUCAUAUCUAAGAUUGCAUAUCAUAUCUAGGAUUGCAUAUCAUAUCUAAGAUUGCAUAUCCUCAAAAAUUAUGUUUCCAUAUGUGAGCUCGGGCUAAAAUUGGGUAUUACAGCUGCCCUUCUUUGCUAAUUGUCGUGUAACAGGAACGGAGCAAAGACUUUAAAAAUGCCCAAUUUUGCUCGGUCUUGCUGGAACAUGAAACAUCUUCAGAAGUAUAGGAAUUAGUGCCUUCUUCAGUCUGCCUCGCUGCAACUUCAGGAGGAUAAGACUUGCUUAUUUAGUAUGCUUCACUGCAACUUCAGGGAAAUAAGACUAGAUGCGAUCUGCUCUCUGCAACUUCAGAGAGAUAAGAUCUAAGGUUUUAAUCCGCUCCACUGCAACUUCAGGGAGAUAAGAUUAUCGGCUUUAAUCUGCUCCACUGCAACUUCAGGGAGAUAAGACUUGCCAUCUUCAGUCUGCCCUACUGCAACUUCAGGAGGAUAAGACUUGCUUACUUAGUCUGCUCCACUGCAACUUCAGGGAGAUAAGAUUUGAUGCGAUCUGCUCUCUGUAACUUCAGAGAGAUAAGAUCUAAGGUUUUAAUUCGCUCCACUGCAACUUCAGGGAGAUAGGAUUAUCGGCUUUAAUCUGCUCCACUGCAACUUCAGGGAGAUAAGACUUGCCAUCUUCAGUUUGCCCCACUACAACUUCAGGAGGAUAAGACUUGCUUACUUAGUCUGCUCCACUGCAACUUCAGGGAGAUAAGACUAGAUGCGAUCUGCUCUCUGCAACUUCAGAGAGAUAAGAUCUAAGGUUUUAAUCCACUCCACUGCAACUUCAGGGAGAUAGGAUCUACAAUCUUCAACCUUCUCCGCUGCUGCUGAGGGAGACAAGGCUUGGUGGCUUAAAUCUGCUUCCCACUAUCUUGGAAAAAUAAGAUCUGCCAUCUUCGAUCUGCUCCACUACUGCUUAAGGAGAUAAGAUCUACAAUCUUCAACCUUCUCCGCUGCUGCUGAGGGGGACAAAGCUUGGUGGCUUAAAUCUGCUUCCCACUAUCUUGGAAAGAUAAGAUCCGCCGUCUUCGAUCUGCUCCACUACUGCUUAGGGAGAUAAGAUCUACAAUCUUCAACCUUCUUCGCUGCUGCUCAGGGAGACAAGGCUUGGUGGCUUAAAUCUGCUUCCCACUAUCUUGGAAAGAUAAGAUUUGCCGUCUUCGACCUGCUCCACUGUCAAUGCAGGAAGGCAAGAUCUGCUCUUUCACUGAUCUGUUCUCUGUGGAACAUGACCUGUAUAGUGAACCUAACUAUGCCUAAUGAUUAGGAUGGCAUGAUCAAAAUGCAUCAAAUGCUCCUAACUAGACAUGUGUGAAUUUUGCAUGAAUGUAAAAUUUAUUUUUCCGAGAAUGAUCCCUCUUAGGUUGUCAUUACUCGAAGUUUAUUAAGGCUUUGUGACUGACGUGCUACAACGCCUUCUUGAUUCACUGGAUUUUCUAAAGAAACAUUUAGCCAAGCUGCCCCCCACUGUGAACCUCCAAGUUUAAUCCAUUAGGAUGCAAAAUUUGUACCCUCUUUCUUCUACUGUGACCCAAGGGUAAAAAUAUCUGGCCUUUUCUCAAUCCUCUGCUAUCACAAUUCGAAGAUACAGAAUGCGAAACUCUUUGGUUUCCUACACCAUUCCUAGGGUGUCAUAUCAAAUGAUCACGCACAAAUGAAGGAUUCUCUUCUCCAAGGAAACCCCUUCUUAUUGUUUGGUGAUUUAAACUUUGUCACCCAUCUGACAUCCUGUCAUUUUGUUUGAUCAAUGUUUUUGACAACAAAAUCCAAAGAGAUAGUCUUCAUUUAGACUCUUCCUUCUCAGAUUUCCAACCUUUAAACUUGGUGCGUUCUAAACAAUAGUCUUGUUUCAUGCUCCUGUAUUAUUUAGAAACUUCUAGAGUAAUAUGCAAAACUUCCUUCGUGAAAGUUUUAUUAGUGCAUUAAUCAUUAUUCUAAUGCAACAUGCUUUCAAAAAGGGUAUAACAAUGGAUGAGAAUACAAUUGGUUCUGAGCAUAGCUCGAAAGGAAUAGAUUAUCAAAAAUAGUAAACAAUGAUAGUAAAGAAAUUGAUUGGGAAUGUGUAUCUUGGAAAAGAAUGAAGUAUUCCAAGAAUAAAAAAUUCAGUAUGAAUAUUGGGUGCCCCAGAUAUCGCAGCUUGAACUUCUCUAUACAAACUUUUUAAAGAUCCUUCUGAGUUUGACAUGUGUUUAGGAGAUCCACAGUACUCUGCCAAUGCCCCAAGAUGUUGCCUACCUUUUCCUGAUAAUUCAGGUAUAACAAGAUCACCACAUGCCCCAAUCUGGUUAAACUUUGAGUUGCUCUAAUCACCUCGUGCCCCAUUCUGAUCAAUAUUUGAGCCGUCCUUUUUGGGUUUUCAACUCAAAUCCCCUUUGGUCUCAAAGUGCCCUUUGCGGGUUUUCACUUUGGCCUCUCCAUUUUCUUUUCUUUUUUCUUUCACUUUUAUUUUUUGUUUUUUUGUUUUUGUUUUUUUGUUUUUUUAAUCUGAACUCAUAGGAUUAGACAAGUCCUCGUUAUCCCUUUCGAUCAGAACCAAUUUAAGAUCUUCUUUGUGAUCAGAUUUCUUUCAUAGAUCCUUUUGGGGCAAAAUUUAACUAUGACGAAAACUUUGGAUCUUCCUCUUCAAUUAGGAUGAAAACCAACAACGGAGAAAUGGAAACUUGACUUCGACAGGCUAAACCAUGAUGAGCCAAAGGAGAAGGCAUUGCGCCGACAAAGAAUUCUAAAUGCAUCGUUCAUGAUGCUAAUCUUGAACAUACUGUAAAUUCUUGAUAUCGUAUUGUUGUUCCGAUUACAAUGUCGGUGCUUACUCAAGCAUAUCCUGAUAUGACUAUAUGAAGACAUCUUUGAACUCUUUGAAGUAACUCAACAAGGUCAUGCUUCAUUUCUUCGGUUAUGCAUGCUAUCUUAAAGUCACAAUCUCCAUUGUCCCCUCAUGAAGUAAGAUUUCAUUCCUGUUCUACCAUCCUCAGCAAGUCUGAAAAUAGGCUACAAUCUGUGUCAUCUUUAAAGUCAUGAGAUCCCUCUAAACACAAAUCCCACUCAAAAGGAACUUAUGAGUCUGUAACAGCAUCACUCAUGUCAUUGAUAUCUGGGGACCUACAGUAAAUACCAAAGAAUAUACAAAAGAAUGUAUGAAUAAUCAUUUGUACAAUUAUGAAUGAAUAAAAGAAUAAUAUGGAAGAAGAUCCGAAAGAAUGAAAGUAUAAUUAUUCGAAAAGAAUAUUGGCUUAAAAAAAUGAAUGCAAAGAUGUAUUUUAUUAGAAUAACGACGUUCAGACAUGAGCCUAUUUCAUAAAGGAAUUCUUAUUGCCUCUAGGCUGAAGGCAACAAGUGUGUUUUGAACAUUACUCUGAGCAAUAUCUAAAUACUACAGGGGUUUCUUCUACAGUCUAAUUAUUUAAAACACUCCCAAGUCUAUAAGGGCGAAAAUCUUACAAGGUCUCUUCUUCAGUUGUUUCAUCGUGAACACUUCUCGACACCCCUUCAUAUACUGCAUUCAAUCAUAACUGGGUACUAGAUGAGCCAUCUAUUUUGACAAUACCCAUGUUGAUGAAUUUUUCAACUAGCUUUUUGAAGGUAAUGCAAUUUUCUAUAGAAUGCCCCGUAAUUCCUACAUGAUAAUCACAUUGUGCACUUGCAUCAUACCAUUUGGGAUACGGGGGCUGUGGAGGCUUCACAUGUAAAGGAGAAACAACAUGCGCAUCGAAUAAGCUUUGAUACAGCUCCUUGUAUGACAUUGGAAUUUUCGUGAAGUGGAGUUUUUCAAUACCUGGCUUCACACCUAAUUAUUGUCUUGAUGAACCCUGUUGAUUAGCAAUCGAUUUGCCGUACAUAUUCACGCUGUUCACCUCAUUUUCCUUUUCUUUUGAGGCUUACCUUCUGUUAUUUCCUCCAGCAUCAAUCUUUCCGCUCCUUAUGGCGCUUUCAAUCAUUUCACCAUUCAUAACUAUGUCAGAAAAGCUUUUAGUAGCACUUCCUAACAUAUGUGUAAUAAAUAGUGCCUUCAAUGUGUUGACGAAAAGCUUCGCCAUCUCUCUUUCUAGAAGAGACGGCUAAACUUGUACGGCAAUCUCCCUCCAUCUUUGCGCGUAUUGCCUAAAGCUUUCACCUGGUUUCUUUUUCAUAUUCUGCAGAGUGAUCCUAUCAGGUACCAUGUCAGUCACAUGGUUGUACUGCCUUAUGAAUGCCUGUGCCAUAUCUAUCCAUGAAUUAAUCUGGGUACGGCUCAAUCGAUUGUACCACUUGGAUGCUACCCCUGCGAGGCUAUCCUGAAAGCAAUGAAUCAAGAGUUGGUCAUUAUUGACAUAACCGGUCAUUCGUCUGCAGAACAUGGCAAUAUGAGCUUCGGGGCUUCUGGUUCCAUUAUAUUUCUCAAACUCUGGCAUUUUGAAUUUGUAAGGAAGCACUAAAUCUGGAACCAGACCCAAUUCUUUAGCGUCCAUCCCAUAAUAGCCUUCUGCACAUUCCAUCGCUCGAAGUUUCUCUUCCAGCCAUUUGUACUUUUUCUCUAGCUGUUUUGGUAAUUCAUCAUUCAUUUUCUCCUUUCUAGUCGUCUCAUCGAAAUCAGGGAUAGCAGGAUUAACAAAGUUGGCUCCGGGGUUAGAGUCUGAUCCUGCCUAGAGAUUCAUUAGCGUUGCAACGUCACCCGAAGGAUUAAUGGUAACAGAGGACCUACGCGGGUAUAUCUCAACUUUUUGGGGGUAAAAUCCAGAGGAUAGAUAUGUCUCUCAUUGUCUCCUUCUUCAAUAUUGAGCACGGAGCCUUUUCCUUUACCAGCUCCUUUGUUGAGUUAACUAAGCCAUCAUACUCCCCUGAGAUUCCAUCAUUUUGUCUAUCAUUUUUUUUGUUCAUUCAUUUGCUUUUGAAGCUGCUCCUGCAUUUCCUUUUGGGAUUGUUCUAGUCUUUCCAUCCUUUGAUCCAUAUCCUUAGUUUUCGAUCGAGUAUCGUAGCAGUGUUUAGUAGGCUGGUUGGUUUCCAGAUUAACUGAGGAAUGAUGUAAAUUAAUUAGAAUCUUUUAAUGUUUUUAAAUGCAUAUGAAGUAAUGCAAUGCAUAAAUGCAAAAAGACGUCAAUUUUGAUUCAAUUCCAUAUAAGAAAACCUUAUUAGAAAGCAAAUUUCUUUAUAUAAAGUGAAUUACAAAUAAGACUUUGCCCUAGUACCCAGAACUCUGAUCUUCCUAAGUAACAAAACUAAUUCUUGCCCCCGAGCCGAUUCUAAUUCAUACUUCAUACUCAACAUGUCAGCCUGUACUGCUAAAAUCUGUACGUAAUCAGCUACUUCUCGAAUCUAGACCACAGCUUCCUUCAUAAGAUGAUCUCUGCUCCUAACUUGACUUUGAAAGUGGUGGAGCUGUUCAUUAUUACUACUUUCGUUUGCUUUCAAGUGCUUGAUCUGGAUCUCACAAUUUUGCAGCACCGUUUCUAGCUCUUCCAAAGAAUGCACUUGCUAUCCCCCUUUUGCUUAACUCGUGCAGCGACCUACUGCUCACUCAUCCCUGUUAUACCUAUCAGCUUCUUUGAAAAGGUUGGCACAUUUACCGCUCUCGAGUAAACUCUAUCCACUUGAAACUUUGAAUAUCGGAGUAAAGCCACAUAUUUUUCUAUCGUAGGUACCAAAUUGACAUUCCCAAACGUGAAGCAACUGUAAGCAGGAUUCCAAAACUGGACGAGGGCUCGAAACAAAUGUUUGUCUACCUUCACAUCAAGCAAAUAAGGCAAGUCCUCAUAAUUGUCGUAAAAUAACUACCUAGCCUCAUUAUUCCAUUGAUUCCAAAUUUCUUUCAACUCCUGCAAAUUGUUUUGAGUUACACUGAUGGGAGUAAAAUUCCAUAAUUCUGAUACAUACCCAUCGGCUAGGCUAUCACCCUUUUCUUGCUGCGUUGUUUCAGACCAAGUUCGGACAGCCGCAUUGUCCUCCACUUUAUCAAGAAACCCUUUUUCCAUGUCACGCUUUCUAUUUAGCAACCGAAUCUGAACUGACGCCUUUUAUGAUGAAAUGAAAUGCCAUGUCAUGUCAUGCAAACAAAAUAAAACACAAAAGGUCAGUGUCAUAUAAUAAUAUAAAAUAUAAUCAAGAAAUAGUAAAACACCUAAUCGGAUGUCUACUAGGGCUCAGUAUAGUUCUACUUAGGGUGGAUUCCUAAGGUUCAUUAUAUGAAGUUUGGCUUCUAGGGUAAAGGUACCUGAACUAGCAGAUUCCUCCAUCCUCACCCAUUAUAGGCUCAUAUGGAUCGAGUUCGGUUCAGGGGAAUACAUUUCCCUAUGGCUGCACGGAGAUUAAAAUCUCACAAAGACAUAGGUACGGAUGUAUCCCGGAAGCAAUCCACUACCCUACACGGAGGUGAAAACCUCACGAAGGCAUAGCUUCUCACUCUCACUUAAAAGGGUAAAAAUGUUCAACUCAUGAAAUGCAUAAUGCAAACAAUAUUUAAGGAAUAAGAUAAUGAAUGCGAAAGGAUGUUAUGAUUUUUUUUUAAAAAUAUUUUUCUCGACCGUAAGACAAAAAUUAAUCAAAUUUGUGGCUCGACUCUCUUCUUUUUUUAAAAAAAAUCUCCCCAGUGGAGUCGCCAAGCUGUCGAAACCAUUUUUUUGAAAACAAAAAAUUUUAGGUUGUCGACUUUUUAAAAAAAUUAAAAUUGGGAGUCGCCAUCAAUCUUUAUUAGGGUGUGAUUGGAUCACCUAAAAAACGGUUUUGGUCUACGAGUUUUAGAAAAACGGAUCCGGGAGUCAGUUACGUAUGAGGAAGGAUUAGCACCCUCGUAAUGCCCAAAAUUGGUACCUAGUUAAUUAAUUAGUGUCUUAAGGUCGAGAAUUUGGAAAAAACGUAAUCCUUAGCAAAACUUAAAAGGCUACGUAUUAAGACCCUUAUUAUUUCAGAGAAAGAAGAUACCACACCCAAUGCGUUAGGGUACAGCAUUCUAAUUUUCCCCAAAAUGAAUUGGGCCAAAAUACUUGCACAAAAGAAUUUUAAAAGAACAUCCACUUAUCCAAGAUUUAAGAAAUCACACCCAAUACGUUAGGGCACAAUUCCUUUAAAAUCCCAAACUCAGAAUAUUUCCUUUAUUGUUUUUAGAAAAAAAAAAUCAUUUCGAGAAAUCAAUGCGUCACAUCCAAUACGUUAGGACACAACGUGUUGAAUUCCCAAUAAUGAAUUCUUAUUUUUUGAUUAAAGAGAAAUGCUCGAUUGUUAGACUUAACGAAGAAAAUCAGAACCCAAUACGUUAGGGCUCAAUUUCCUUGAAAAUCCUAAAUUCAAGCAUUCUCUCAAUUUUGAAAAGUUUGAAAUCGAGUAAAGAAUGAUGUGAUGCUAUAUUAAAUAUACAAUGCAAUAAUAAAUAUUACAAAGGCCUAGAAAUAAUAUAAAUAAAUGAAUAAAUAAAAUCAAUAUACAUAAUAAAAAUAAUCACAUACAAAAUAUCAAAUAAAUCAUAAAAAACAAUUCUUUUUAACAUAUAAAUGAAAACAUGAAUUAAUAAUCGAAUGAAGAAAAUAAACAAAAUAUAAAGAAUAAAAGGCACAUAAUAUAUAUAUUGAAAUGAAAAGCCAUACACAUAAUUUACAUAUGUAACUUUGGAUUAAAAUUUAUAAAAGUAGAAUAUAUAAUGCAUUUGUGAAAAUAAAAUAUAAAUUAUAAAGUAAGUUUUAAAAAAUACAUAUAUUUGAGCAUUCAAAAAAAAAUAUUCAUAUAUAUAUACAAGUAUAUAAAAAACUGGUUAAAAAUAUUAAUAUGUAUACAUACAUAUAUAUACAAAGAUAAAUAUAACAUAUAUAGAUUAUAAAAAAUAAUUACAUAUAAAUAAAAUAAAAUAAAAAUAACUACCUCAUAUUAAAAAAAUACAUAUGCGAAAAAUAUUAGUUUUUAAAAAAAAUAUAAAUACGCACAUAGAAACAAGUAUACAUAUAUAUAUAGCUAAAAUAAUAAUAAUUACAUAUGAAAAUAAUAAUAAUAAUAAUAAUUACAUUAACAAAAUUAACUAAUUUUAAGAAAAAUAUAAAAAGGAUUAAAUUGAACUACAAGUAAACAAAUUUGGGGUCAAUCUACAAAUAAAUAAAAUUUGAAGGACUAAAUUGAACGAGCGAAUUACAUAGAGGGGCUGGAAGGGAAAAUUUCCCUUCUCCUCUAAAACGGUGUCGUUCAAAAAGAUUAAAUUGGAAUUUAAAAUAAAUAAAAGGGUAAAUUAAAAAAAUAAAGAAACUUAAUUACAAAAACAUUAAAAGGUGGAGGGGCUAAAUAAAAAAAUAAAUAAAAUUCGCAGUGGUAUCACCUUCUCCCUUUUUUAAAAUCGUGAAUAAGUAAAAAAAAAUAAUCGAAAGAAAAAAAUAGUAAGCCACCUUUAAAAAACUGCCAAUCGUUCUUUUUUAUUCCUCCUCAUCUUUUAUUCCUUUUUUCCUUUUUCAAUGAAGGGAGAGGCCUCUAUUUAUAGGUGAGCCUCCCAAAAUCCAACGGUACAGAUCAAUUACAUCAACGGCUGAGAUUAAAGGGUAUCUACAAAUUAAAUAUCUAAGAUUACAAAAUCAUAUAUUCUAAGAUUGCAUAUCAUAUCUAAGAUUAUAUAUUAUAUCUAAGAUUGCAUAUAUCAUAUCUAAGAUUGCAUAUCAUAUCUAGAAUUGCAUAUCAUAUCUAAGAUUGCAUAUCCUCAAAAAUUAUGUUUCCAUAUGUGAGCCCGGGCUAAAAUUGGGUAUUAUAUGGACGACCUCGUAAUGGCCUGCACCCCAUUUAUGCAAAAUAAAAAAAAAUUUACUUUUCGUGUGUCAAUUGCCAGCACCAGUAAACGAAAAAGAUAAAAAAAAAUUUUUUUGGGGUGGCGGCCAUUGCAAGACCACCUAAAAAAAAAUCUUUUUUCUACUUUUUUUGUAUUAUGAUGCCGGCCAUUAUUAAACCAAAACCUGAAAAAAUUAUUAUUUUUUCGUAUAAAGGGGUGCCGGCCAUUGACAGGCUAGCAACCAAAAUUUUUUUUUUCCUUUUUUUUCCCGAUUUUUGUAUACCAUUAAUAUACGAUUUAAAAAAAAUACAUGAGUUCCGGCCAUUGACAGGCCGAAACCAAAAAGUUCAUUUCUUUUAAGUGUGACACAAUUAUCAGACAAUCAUGGGUCCAAAAUACCAGGUGGUGCCGGCCAUUUAAAGGCCACAACCCCAUUUUACUGUUCAUUUCGGGUUAUUUUGGUGAAUGUUUUAAAACCUGAGUUAUUUUUUAAAAUAUAAAAUUUUUUUGGAUUAUUUUGAUAAAAUAGCCUGAAUAAUUAAUUCAAUUCAUUUGAUUGACUUUGUGGAAUUUCCUUUUCCUUUUCUUGAUAAUAAAUCACUUCCUUUUUUUUUUUCUUUCUAUUUUCGUUUCUCUUUUCUUUACAUUUCGUUCUUCUUUUUAUUUGGUUCGAUCUAAUCUCAUUUCAAUAGAGUUUUAUGCUAGGAACGAGCUUAGGUUAGUUUUUCUUUUUUGAAAGUGAAGCGAUCUCAAAACCUUAAAAUAAGAAAUAUUGAGGAAGAAGAAGAACAGAGGAAAGAGAAGAAUUCUGAUAUUUUUCUAGUCAAAAGAAGUUGCACCACUUUAUCCUUGUGACCUUUGAUUUCUAACGGACUCCUCUGCUUGACGCAGAGAUUCGAUGAUCUCACCGAGAGUUUAUUUAAUCUCCGUCAUAUCACUUUUUAGCUCGGCCCUCAGCUCUUUGAGCUUUCUAGCCCAAAUAUCAUUUUGCGGAGGGUUAGCGGGAGGGAUAUUAUCCUCCAUUGCUGGAGGGAUAUUAUCCUCAUAUUCUUGCGCUGUGAUUCAGCGGCCUCACUACUCACUGAACUCUCCAACCAAAUACGAUAAGCCUUCUUUAAUUUUCUUGAUCUCUUGAACUUGCCAUGUCCACCAAGAGCGAGUUUCAUGUCUAAGCUUUCGCCAAUCAAAUUUAUCACCUCACUGCGCAUAAACUUUUUUCCUAGUAGUUCUUUUAUCACAAGACAUCUGAUCAUACCACCUGCUCUAGCUUCCUUCAAAAUUUGCCACAACACUUCCCCAAUUGUCGGCUCUUUUGUGGCUUCUCCAUGGACGGUCGGCGCUUUUGCGGCUUUCGCAUGGACAGUCGGAACUUCUGCGGCUUUGCAUGGACAAUCGACGUUUUUACGGCUUCUGCAUGGAACGUCGGCGCUUCUGUGGCUUCUGCAUAAACCGUGGGCGUUUUUGAGGCUUCUAGUUCUCUAUGGACAGUUGGAGCUGUGGCAGUUUCUUAAACAACGACAUUAUUUCUCCCCAAGGAAAGCAACAUUGUGGCUGCUACAUUUUCAUCCUCCUUUGUUUUCACUAUAUUGAAUUGCAAAAUGAAAAGAAUGAAGACGAUAAGGGAAGAAAAAAAAUGUAAAGUGAGAAAUGAAAAGCAUAAGAGAAUAUGAAGAGUAUAUAUAGAGUUAGGGGGGCUCUCUGCUCUGAAAUACAAAGGUGAAAUACAAGGCACGAGAAGCUUCUUUCAUUUUUCUGUUAGUGGACUAAUUGUGGGUAUGAGAUUGUAGGCUAGAUUUCUUGAAUAAAAUUAGUGGAGCAAAUUGUGGUCUUCUCUCUGGCAUGGAUAGGCUAUAUUCUCGCUAAACGAGUUUCUCACCUUCCGGGGAUAGAUGUGCUGGGUCAGGAGCUGUGACAAUAGGAGUUUCAGUCUUAUGCUUUUCUGUGUACCGAGACAAAAGGAAAGAGGCUUAUGUCUUCAGUUGCUUAUUCUUUUUUCUACGAUCGAGGGAGAGUGAAUGCUCCCAUUGAAUCUCUUGAGCGUGGUUAGAAAUCGCAUAAUAAUAAAAAAAAGUUUGAUUCCUUUGAUUCCUCCAGUCCCACCAAGAAGUUAACACAUUUCAAUUUUAUUUUGUUCCUCUUUUUAUUUUGUAUAAAGUGGGUGCCGGCCAUUGCCAGGCCACCCCUAAUUUUUUUUUACUUUUUUCUUAUACCGGUGUCGGCAAUUGUCACACCAAAAGUAAAAAAAAAAUUUGUAUAAAGGGGUUGCCUGCCAUUGCCAGGCCACCCCAAUUGUUUUUUUUACUUUUUUCGUAUGCUGGUGCCAACCAAUUACACAACAAAAUUUUAAAAAAAAAUUAUUGUAGGAUGGGGGUGUCGACCAUUGCCAGGCCACCAAUUUUUUUUUUACUUUUUUCGUAUUUUGGUGCUGGCCAUUGACAAAACAACACCUGAAAAUUUUUUUUUCCGUAUGAAGGGGGUGCCGACCAUUGACAGGCUAGCACCCAAAAUUAUUUUUUCCUUUUAUUCCGGUUUUUUGUAUACCAGUAAUAUACAAUUUUAAAAAAAUAAAAUACACGGGUUCUAGCCAUUAACAGGCCAGAACCAAAAAAUUCAUUAUGGCUAUUUUACCAAAAUAAUCCAAAAAUUUUUUAUAUUUAUAAAAAUAACUCAGGUUUUAAAACAUUCACAAAAAUAACCCGAAAUGAACAGUAAAAUGGGGUUGUGCUUUGUUAAUGGCUUGCACCACCUGAUAUUUUGGACCCAUAAUUGCCUGAUAAUUGUGUUAGACUUAACAAAAAUGAAUUUUUUGGUUCUGGCCUGUCAAUGGCCGGAACCCAUGUAUUUUUUUAAUAUCGUAUAUUACUGGUACACAAAAAAUCGAAAAAAAGGAAAAAAAAAGUUUGGGAGCUGGCCUGUUAACGGCCGGCUCCCCCUUUAUAAGGAAAUUUUUUUUUCAGGUGUUAUUCUGUCAAUGGCCGGCGCCCCUUUAUACGGAAAUUUUUGGGGGUGGCUUGGCAAUUGCCAGCACUUCUUUUAUACAAAAAAAAAUUAUUGUAGAAAGGGUAUUUUUUUUUACUUUUUUCGUAUUCUGGUUCCGGCUAUUGUUAGACCAACACUCAAAAAAAUUAUUUUUUUUCGUAUAAAGGGGUGCCGGCCAAUGACAGGCUGGCACCCAAUUUUUUUUUCUUUUUUACCGAUUUUCUGUAUACCAGUAAUAUACGAUUUAAAAAAAUACAUGGGUUCCGGCCAUUCACAGGCCAGAACCAAAAAAUUCAUUUUUUUAAGUAUGACACAAUUAUCAGACAAUUAUGGGUCCAAAAUACCAGGUGGUGCCGGCUAUUUACAGGCCACAACCCCAUUUUACUGUUCAUUUCGGGUUAUUUUGGUGAAUGUUUUAAAACCUGAGUUAUUUUUGUAAAUAUAAAUUUUUUUUGGAUUAUUUUGGUAAAAUAGCCUGAAUAAUUAAUCCAAUUUGUUUCAUUGACUUUGUGGAAUUUCCUUUUCUUUUUCUUGAUAAUAAAUCACUUUUUUUUUCUAUUUUCGUUUCUCUUCUCUUUGCAUUUCGUUCUUCUUUUUAUUUGGUUCGAUCUAAUCUCAUUUUAAUAGAGUUUUAUGCUCGGAACGAGCUUAGGUUAGUUUUUCUUUUUUGAAAGUGAAGCGAUCUCAAAACCUUAAAAUAAGAAAUAUUGAGGAAGAAGAAGAACAGAGGAAGGAGAAAAAUUCUGAUAUUUUUCUAGUCAAAAGAAGUUGCACCGCCUUAUCCUUGUGAUCUGUGAUUUCUAAUGGACUCCUCUGCUUGACGCAGAGAUUCAGUGAUCUCACCGAGAGUUUAUUUAAUCUCCGUCAUAUCACUUUUUAGCUCGGCCCUCAGCUCCUUGAGCUCUGUAGCCCAAAUGUCAUCUUGCGGAGGGUUAGCGGGAGGGAUAUUAUCCUCCAUUGCGGGAGGGAUAUUAUCCUCAUCAUUCUUGCUCUGUGAUUCAGCGGCCACACUACUCACUGAACUCUCCAACCAAAUACGAUAAGCCUUCUUUAAUUUUCUCGAUCUCUUAAACUUGCCAUGUCCACCAGGAGCGAGUUUCCCGUCCAAGCUUUCGCCAAUCAAAUUUAUCACCUCACUGCGCAUAAAACUUUUUUCCUAGUAGUUCUUUUAUCACCAGACAUCUGAUCAUACCACCUACUCCAGCUUCCUUCAAAAUUUGCCACAACACUUCCUUAAUUGUCAGCUCUUUUGUGGCUUCUGCAUGGACAGUCGGCACUUCUGCGGCUUUGGCAUGGAUAGUCGCCACUUCUGCGGCUUCUCCAUGGACAAUCGACGUUUCUAUGGCUUCUGCAUGGUCCGUCGGCGCUUCUGUUGCUUCUGCAUAAACCGUGGGCGUUUUUGAGGCUUCUAGUUCUCCAUGGACAGUCGGAGCUGUGGCAGUUUCUUAAACAACAACAUUAUUUCUCCCCAAGGAAAGCAACAUUGUUGCUACUACAUUUUCAUCCUCCUUUGUUUUCAUUAUUUUGGAUUGCAAAAUGAAAAGAAUGAAGACGAUAAGGGAAGAAAAAAAUGUAACGUGAGGAAUGAAAAGCAUAAGAGAAAAUGAAUAGUAUAUAUAGAGUUAGGGGGGCUCUCUGCUUUGAAAUACAAAGGUGAAAUAUAAGGCACGAGGAGCUUCUUUCAUUUUUCUGUUAGUGGACUAAUUGUGAGUAUGAGAUUGUAGGCUCGAUUUCUUGAAUAAAAUUAGUGGAACAAAUUGUAGUCUUCUCUCUGGCAUGGAUAGGCUUUAUUCUCGCUCAACGAGUUUCUUACCUUCCGGGGAUAGAUAGGUUGGGUCAGGAGCUGUGACAAUAGGAGUUUCAGUCUUAGGCUUUUCUGUGUACCUAGACAAAAAGAAAGGGGCUUAUGUCUUCAGUUGCUUAUUCUUUUAUCUACGAUCGAGGGAGAGUUAAUGCUCCCGUUGAAUCUCUUGAGUGUGGUUAGAAAUCGCAUAAUAAAAAAAUUUUGAUUCCUCUGAUUCCUCUGAUUCCUCCAGUCCCACCAAGAAGUUAACCCAUUUUAAUUUUAUUUCGUUCUUCUUUCUAUUUUGUAUAAAGUCGGUGCCGGCCAUUGCCAGGCCACCCCUAAUUUUUUUUACUUUUUUCGUAUACUGGUGCCGGCAAUUGUCACUCCAAAAGUAAAAAAAAUUUAUCGUAUAAAGGGGUGCCUGCUAUUUUCAGGCCACCCCAAAUUUUUUUUUACUUUUUUCGUAUACUGGUGCUGGCCAUUGACAGAGCAAAAGUAAAAAAAAAUUGUAUAAAUGGGGUGCCGGCCAUUGCCAGGCCACCCAAAUUUUUUUUUACUUUUUUCGUAUGCUGGUGUCGGCUAAUUACACACCAAAAGUAAAAAAAAAUUAUUGUAGGAAGUGGGUGUCGACUAUUGCCAAACCACCAAUUUUUUUUUUUUACUUUUUUCGUAUUCUGGUGCUGGCAAUUGACAAAUCCACAUCCCAAAAAAAAAAUUUCCGUAUAAAGGGGUGCCGUCCAUUGACAGGCUAGCACCCAAAUUUUUUUUUCCUUUUUUUCUAGUUUUCUGUAUACCAGUAAUAUACGAUUUUAAAAAAAAUACAAAGGUUCCUGCCAUUAACAGGCUAGAACCAAAAAAUUCAUUAUGUCUAUUUUACCAAAUUAAUUCAAAAAAAUUUUAUAUUUACAAAAAUAACUCAGGUUUUAAAACAUUCACCAAAAUAACCCGAAAUUAAUAGUAAAUUGGGGUUGUGGCCUGUUAAUGGCCGGCACCACCUGAUAUUUUGGACCCAUGAUUGCCUGAUAAUUGUGUCAGACUUAAAAAAAUGAAUUUUUUGGUUCUGGCCUGUCAAUGGCCGGAACCCGUGUAUUUUUUUAAAAUCAUAUAUUACUGGUAUAUAGAAAAUCGAAAAAAAAGAAAAAAAAAUUGGUUACUGGCCAGUCAAUGGUCGGCGCCACCUUUAUACGAAAAUUUUUUUUUCGGGUGUUAUUCUGUCAAUGGCCGACGCCUCCUUUAUACGAAAUUUUUUUUUCGGGUGUUAUUCUGUCAAUGGCUGGCACCAGAAUACGAAAAAAUUAAAAAAAAAUUUUGGGGUGGCUUGGCAAUGGCCGGCACCCCCUUUCUACAAUAAUAUAUAUAUUUUUACUUUUGGUGUAUCAAUGGCCGGCACCAGCAUAUGAAAAAAGUAAAAAAACAAAAAUUUUUGGGUGGCCUAGCAAUAGCCAGCACCCUUUUUUAUACAAUUUUUUUUUACUUUUAUUCUGUCAAUAGCCGGCACCAGUGUACGAAAAAAGUAAAAAAAAAUUGGGGUGGCCUGGCAAUGGCCGACAUCCUUUUUGUGCAAAAAAAAAACUACUUUUCGUGUGUCAAUGGCCAGCACCAGUAUAAGAAAAAAGUAAAAAAAAUUAUUUUUUGGGGUGGCUUGGAAAUUGCCGGCACUUCCUUUAUACAAAAAAAAUUAUUGUAGAAAGGGGGUGCCGGCCAUUGCCAGGCCACCAAAAAACCUUUUUUUAUUACUUUUUUCGUAUUCUGGUACCGGCCAUUGAUAGACUAGCACCCGAAAAAAUUAUUUUUUUCAUAUAAAGGGGUGCCGGCCAUUGACACGCUAGCACCCAAAUUUUUUUUUCUUUUUUUUCGGUUUUCUGUAUAUCAGUAAUAUACGAUUUAAAAAAAAUGCAUGGGUUCCGGCCAUUGACAGGACAGAACCAAAAAAUUCAUUUUUUUAAGUCUGACACAAUUAUCAGGUAAUCAUGGAUCCAAAAUACCAGAUGGUGCCGGUGAUUGACAGGCCACAACCCCAUUUUAGUAUUCAUUUCGGGUUAUUUUGGUGAAUGUUUUAAAACCUGAGUUAUUUUUGUAAAUAUAAUUUUUUUUGGAUUAUUUUGGUAAAAUAGCCUAUAUAAUUAAUCCAAUUCGUUUGAUUGACUUUGUGGAAUUUCCUUUUUUUUUUCUUGAUAAUAAAUCACUUUCUCUUUUUUUUUUUCUAUUUUCGUUUCUCUUUUCUUUGCAUUUCGUUUUUCUAUUUAUUUGGUUCGAUCUAAUCUCACUUCAAUAGAGUUUUAUGCUCGGAACGAGCUUAGGUUAGUUUUUCUUUUUUGAAAGUGAAGCGAUCUCAAAACCUUAAAAUAAGAAAUAUUGAGGAAGAAGAAUAAUAGAGGAAGGAGAAGAAUUCUGAUAUUUUUCUAGUCAAAAGAAGUUGCACCACCUUAUCCUUGUGAUCUUUGAUUUCUAAUGGACUCCUCUGCUUGACGCAGAGAUUCGGUGAUCUCACUGAGAGUUUAUUUAAUCUCCGUCAUAUCACUUUUUAGCUCGGCCCUCAGCUCCUUGAGCUCUCUAGCCCAAAUAUCAUCUUGCAGAGGGUUAGCGGGAGGGAUAUUAUCCUCCAUUGCGGGAGGGAUAUUAUCCUCAUCAUUCUUGCGCUGUGAUUCAGCGGCCUCACUACUCACAGAACUCUCCAACCAAAUAUGAUAAGCCUUCUUUAAUUUUCUCGAUCUCAUGAACUUGCCAUGUCCACCAGGAGCGAGUUUCCCAUCCAAGCUUUUGCCAACCAAAUUUAUCACCUCACCGCGCAUAAAAUUUUUUUCCUAGUAGUUCUUUUAUCACAAGACAUCUGAUCAUACCACCUGCUCCGGCUUCCUUCAAAAUUUGCCACAACACUUUCUCAAUUGUCGGCUCUUCUGUGGCUUUUGCAUGGACAGUCGACGCUUCUGCGGCUUCAGCAUGGACAGUCGGCACUUCUGUAGCUUCUGCAUGGACAGUCGAUGUUUCUGCGGCUUCUACAUGGUCUUUCGGCGCUUCUAUGGCUUCUACAUAAACUGUGGGCGUUUUUGAUGCUUCUAGUUCUUUAUGGAUAGUUGGAGCUAUGGCAGUUUCUUCAACAACAACAUUAUUUCUCCCCAAGGAAAGAAAUAUUGUUGCUGCUACAUUUUCAUCCUCCUUUGUUUUCACUAUAUUGAAUUGCAAAAUGAAAAGAAUGAAGACGGUAAGGGAAGAAAAAAAUGUAAGGUGAGGAAUGAAAAGCAUAAGAGAAAAUGAAGAGUAUAUAUAGAGUUAGGGGGCUCUCUGUUCUGAAAUACAAAGGUGAAAUACAAGACACAAGAAGCUUCUUUCUUUUUUUUGUUAGUGGACUAAUUGUGGGUAUGAGAUUGUAGGCUGGAGUUCUUGAAUAAAAUUAGUGGAGCAAAAUGUAGUAUUCUCUCUGGCAUGGAUAAGCUUUAUUCUCGCUCGGCGAGUUUCUUAAGAUGGGCUAGGUCAGGAGUUGUGACAAUAAGAGUUUCAGUCUUAGGCUUUUCUGUGUAUCUAGAUAAAAGGAAAUAGGCUUAUGUCUUCAGUUACUUAUUCUUUUUUCUACGAUCGAGGGAGAGUGAAUGCUCCCAUUGAAUCUCUUGAGUGUGGUUAGAAAUCGCAUAAUAAAAAAAAGUUUGAUUCCUCUGAUUCCUCCAGUCCCACUAAGAAAUUAACCCAUUUUAGUUUUAUUUCGUUCUUCUUUUUUUUUUGGUUCGAUCUGAUCUAAUUUCAAUCAAGUUUUAUGCUCGAAACGAGCUUAGAUUAGUUUUUAUUUUUUGAAAGCUAUAUUUUUGGCUUUGUAAGUAUUGAUUCUUUUCUAUUUUGUUCAAUAUAUCCUCAUUGUCGAGUCAAGUUUGCUCAAAAAUGAGGGAAACCGGAGUUUGAGAUUUUUAGUGGUGAAGAAAGAAAAGUAAAAGAGUUUUAGGGUUUCUUGAGAUGGCAUUGAUUUAGAACUUAUGGAGAAUAUUUAUAAUUUUGGGCUUUAUUUGUUAGGUAUUGAAUAUUGAUUGGUGUUGCUUAUUUGGGUUUUAAUUGAACAUUCUAUUAUUUGAUGAAUGUGAACUGUAACACCCCUUACCCAAUACCGUUGCCGGAGUCGAGCAUGAGGCGUUACUUGACUUAACUUAAAAGUUCGGGGCAUAAAAAUUUACUUUCAAUUUAAUUUCAUCAUUCAUAAUAAAGCAGUCCACCUGUACAGCAGUCACUAAAAUAAUUAUAAUUCAAGCUACGAAACUCGAAAUUUAGAUCCGUAAAUUUUUCAUAAAACUAGACUCAUAUAUCUAUUCACCAUAAAUUUUUCAGAAUUUUUUCUUCAGCCAAUUAGUACAGUUUAUUAGUUGAAGUCUCCCCUGUUUCACUAAUCGACUAUCCUAACCACUCAUCACUAAAAUUUAAUUAUCUCUUAUUAAAGGCUUCAUAUGGUGAUUAAACUUAUUUCUACUGAAAAUAGACUCAUUAAGGAAUCUAUACAUAUAAAUUAUAACUCCUAAUUCCUUCUGUACAAUUUUUAAUGAAUUUCUAAAGUCAGAACAGGGGACUUCAAAAACAUUCUUGCCCUAUUUCACUAAAAUUCAAAUAUCUAAAAGUAUAUAAUUCUUUUGCUUACUCAACUUCUUUUAUAUGAAAGUAGACUCUUUCAGCUUUAAUUUCAUAUCUCACUCAACUUCUAAUUCUAUUUCCACUAUUUUUGGUGAUUUUUAAAAGUUACAUCAAUGCUGCUGUCCAAGAACUGCUCCAUUGCAAUUUUUUUUUAAAAAAAAUUCAAUAUAACCCCUUUAUAAUUGUCUAACCUUCCCUGCAAAUUUCAAAUCACAACCAAUUCCAGUAUUUCAUCUACUUCAUUUAAAUACUAAUUAAGUUCAACCAAUCAACCAUUUCAAACUAAAAACAUGUAUAUAUUUCGAUAUCUAACGCAACCAUAACAUUCAAAUUUACUUUUACUUCAAUUCCCUAUACAUGCCAUAUAAAUCCAAAAAGUUGCUUAACAUAAACUACCGGAGUAUAUCUGGAUAGUGUGAUUCUUGAUGUAGAUCCGAUCCUCCGAAUGUAUAAAUACGUUAAUCUACAAAAACAAUAAACACACACAUGUAAGCUUAUAGAAAAGCUUAGUAAGUUCAUAGGCAUAAAACAUAAAUCUUACCAAACACUUGCACACUUAUACAAUAUACACCAUUACUAAAUUUACCUGUCAACCACAAUCUUUGGUGAGUUCCUUGGUAUAAACUCACUACUACUUAUUCUUUUACCAUAAUUCCUUUGGGCCCAUUUGUCACUUACCAUUCUUGAUCAAAAUUAAGGAACGGUUAUGGAAAUUUGAGUACUUCACUUUCACUUUGCCAUAUGACCUCUUAUCACUUGUCCUUGAUCAGAUAAGUGUAGCUAGGCUACCACUUAUCACUUUACCACUUGAUCAGAUAAGUGUAGCCACUUAUCACUUUGUUUCUUGAUCAGAUAAGUGUAACCACUUAUCACUUUGUUUCUUGAUCAGAUAAGUGUAACCACUUAUCACUUUGUUUCUUGAUCAGAUAAGUGUAGCUAAAACUACCACUUAUCACUUUGUCACUUGAUCAGAAGUACUCAAAUUCGACGUUCCACUUAAUUUGAUCAUUUAUUCGAUUUUCACAUUUUUAUUUUAUUCUCAUUUCAACAAUAAAUACAUUCCACCAUACAUUGUAUAAUUCAUGAAAUUAACAUUUAAUUAUUAAAUUUCAGCCAUAUGAACUUACCUGGAUCGAUUUGCAGAAUUUGUAAAAGUUCAGGGACUAAUCGGCUACUUUUUCUUUUCCUCGACUUGUUUCGGGUUCUCGAUCUAAAAUGCAAAUUUAUUCAUUCAUCAGCAUUUAAUUCAAUUCUAAUUCAUUUCACAAUUUAUGCCCUUUAAUUUUUGAAGUUACACUUUUACCCCAAACUUUACAGUUUUUACAAUUUGAUCCCUACUCAAUUAACCCCUCAAUUGAUCUAAUUUUUCUCAAUUAACACCUUUUCCAACUAUUUUAGACUACUACAUAGCCUUUCAUACUCAAAACCGCAACACCAAACCUUAAUUCCCAACUUUUUCACAAUUAGGUCCCUAAAAUCAAUUUCUAUCAAAAUUACUUAAUAAAAUCAUCAUAUAACAAAAUUAAAGCUUCAAUUCCAUGUUUAUUCAUCAUAAAAAUCCAACACUCAUCAAUGGUAACUUUCAAAAUCAGCCAUGGAAUCAAAAACUAAUGAAAUAAUUAGUUGGACCUAAUUGUAAAAGUAUCAAAAUCACAAAAAUUAGAAGAAAUAAUCAAGAAUUAAACUUACAUGAUUCAAAAAUAUGAAAAAAACAGCUUAUUCCAGACCUCCUAUGGCGUUUUUGCUGAUAAAUUGUGAAGAGAUCUCUAGAUUUUUCACUUUUGUCUUUGUUUUAAAUGUUUAAUUUGUUAAGUUUCCAAUUUUGCCCCUGUUUCUCCUUACAUUCUGCUGAUUUUUCUUACCCAACCGUCCAGCCCAUAUAAUUUGGGCCUAAUAGCCUUUUAAAUCCCUCCACUUUAGUCACUUAAGCUAUUUAAUCACAAUUUAACAAAUUUUACACUAUUCCCAAUUUAGUCCUUUUUAGUUAAUUAACUAUCCAAACGUUAAAAUUUUCUAACGAAACUUUAAUACCAACUCAAUGACACUCUAUAAAUAUUUAUAAAAAUAUUUAUGGCUCGGUUUAAAAUCUUCAAGGUCUCGAUACCUCGUUUUUUUUUUAAUUAUUUUAAUAUUUAUUCCUAGUACACUAUUCACUAUUUCAAAAAUUUUCCUAACUUCACAUUUAACUUAUACUUACUAAAUUUAUAAUAUUUUCUACUCGUUUGUCAGAUUUAGUGAUCUCGAAUCACCAUUCCGACACCACUAAAAAUUCAGGCUAUUACAACUCUCCCCCCCUUUUAGGAAAUUUCGUCCCCGAAAUUUCGUACCUGGAAAUAAAUUCGGAUACUGAAAUCUCAUCAAUUCCUCCGUUUCCCAGGUUGCCUCCUCAGAUCCAUGUCGAUUCCAUAGCACCUUAACUAGUGGUACACGUUUAUUCCUCAACUCUUUAACCUCCCGAGCUAAAAUUUUCACCGGUUCCUCUGAAUAAGUCAUGUCAGGUUGGAGCUCUAUUUCCGUAUGAGGAAUUACAUGUGAUGGAUCUGAUCUAUACCGUCUCAACAUAGACACAUGAAACACAUUAUGAAUAUUUUCAAGUUCCCGGGGCAAAGCCAAUCUAUAAGCUACCGGACCGAUUCUUUCAAUGAUUUCAUACGGCCCGAUAAAUCGUGGGCUGAGUUUUCCCUUUCUGCCGAACCGCAAAACUUUCUUCCACGGUGACACUUUCAAAAAUACACGAUCACCCACACUAAACUCUAUAUCCCUUCUCUUCAAAUCUGCAUAUGAUUUUUGCCGAUCGGAGGCAGCUUUUAAACAAUCUCGAAUAAUACGAACUUUUUCUUCAGUUUCCCGAAUCAAGUCCACUCCCACCAGUUUCGAUUCACUUAAUUCAGUCCAAUAUAAUGGAGUUCUACACUUUCUUCCAUACAGAGCUUCAAACGGUGCCAUUUUAAUACUAGUUUGAUAACUAUUAUUAUAAGCAAAUUCGGCUAAAGGUAAAUACCUUUCCCAGCUGCCGCCGAACUCAAGUAUACAACACCUUAACAUAUCUUCUAAAAUCUGAAUCACUCGCUCUGACUGCCCAUCUGUCUGGGGAUGAAAAGCUGUGCUGAAAUUUAAUUUGGUGCCCAGAGCCUCCUGUAAUUUACUCCAAAAUCUCGAGGUAAAUCUCGGAUCUCGAUCCGAAAUAAUAGAUAUCGGUACCCCAUGUAACCUCACUAUCUCAGACACAUAUAACUCCGCUAACUUUUCAAGCUGAUAAUCUGUUCUGACUGGAAUAAAAUGUGCCGACUUAGUUAACCGAUCAACAAUCACCCAUAUCGAAUCUUUCUUCUUCGGAGUUACUGGUAAUCCAGAUACAAAAUCCAUCGUGACAUGUUCCCAUUUCCACUCUGGAAUCUUAAUGGGCUGUAACAACCCUGUCGGCACUUGAUGCUCAGCUUUCACCUGUUGACAAAUCAAACAUCUUGCUACAUAUUCACAGAUUUCUCGUUUCAUUCCAGGCCACCAAUACAUUUUCUUCAAAUCACAAUACAUUUUUGUACUCCCCGGGUGAAUAGAACACAUACUACUGUGAGCCUCUGAUAAAAUAUCAUUUUUCAAGUCUAAAUUAUUUGGAACACAUAUUCUAUUACGAUAAUAUAACAUACCAUUUUCAUCAAUGGAGUAUUCUGAGCUUAACUCAUUUUGAACCAUCUGUCGUUUUAGCAUCAAUUUUGGGUCUUCAUCUUGUAAUUCCCGAAUCCGUUGAAAGAACACAGGUUUAGCUUUUAAUUCCGCUAGUAUAGAACCAUCCUCAUUAAUAGAUAAACGAGCACUCAAUGCCCGUAAUGCAAAUAAUGAUGAUUUCCGACUAAGUGCAUCUGCUACGACAUUUGCUUUCCCUGGGUGAUAGUCAAUGACAAGAUCAUAAUCUUUCAGCAACUCUAACCAUCGUCUCUGUCUCAAAUUUAACUCUUUCUGAGUCAUUAAAUACUUCAAGCUUUUAUGAUCAGUAUACACGUAACAUUUCUCACCAUAUAAGUAGUGUCUCCAUAUUUUCAAAGCAAACACGAUCGCUGCCAAUUCCAAAUCAUGUGUAGGAUAAUUCUUCUCGUGCGGUUUCAGUUGUCGGGAAGCAUAUGCCACCACUUUUCCUAACUGCAUAAGUACACAACCCAAACCACUCAGAGACGCAUCACUAUAUACUACAAACGGUACGCCCGAUUCUGGUUGAGUCAACACUGGAGCCUCUGUCAACAUCUUUUUCAACUGAUCGAAACUCUGCUGACAUUCGUCUGACCAUAUAAAUUCAACAUUCUUUUGUAGUAAUCGAGUCAACGGUAAGGUAAUCAUUGAGAAAUCUUUGACAAAUCGGCGAUAAUAACCUGCCAAUCCUAGAAAGCUCCGUACUUCAGUAACAUUCUUUGGAACUUUCCAAUUUACCACUGCCGCUAUCUUACUUGGAUCCACUCUUAUUCCAUCAGCUGAUACUAUAUGACCCAAAAACGUAACUUCCUGAAGCCAAAAUUCACAUUUGCUGAAUUUCGCAUAUAACUGUUUCUCCCGCAAAGUCUGUAAUACAAUCCUUAGAUGUUGUGCAUGUUCGGACUCUGUCUUUGAAUAAAUCAAUACAUCGUCAAUGAACACAACCACAAAUCUAUCCAAAUAUGACUGAAAAAUUCUAUUCAUCAAAUCCAUAAAAGCAGCAGGAGCAUUGGUUAAACCAAAUGGCACCACCAAAAAUUCAUAAUGACCAUAUCGAGUUCGGAAGGCAGUUUUUGGCACAUCACACUCUUUAACUUUCAACUGAUAAUACCCAGAUCGAAGGUCUAUCUUGGAAAAUACUGCAGCACCUUUCAACUGAUCAAACAAAUCAUCAAUACGAGGCAAAGGAUAUUUAUUCUUUACCGUUACCUUAUUCAACUGCCUGUAAUCUAUACACAGUCUUAAAGAACCGUCCUUCUUUUUCACAAACAAGACAGGUGCACCCCAGGGCGACAUACUCGGUCUGAUGAACCCUUUAUCUAAUAACUCCUGCAACUGCGCCUUCAACUCUUUUAAUUCCGCUGGAGCCAUUCUGUACGGUGUCAUUGAUAUAGGAGUUGUUCCGGGGAUCACAUCAAUUACAAAUUCAACUUCUCUAUCAGGUGGUAGACCGGGUAACUCUUCAGGGAACACAUCAGGAAAUUCAUUCACCACUGGCACUUGUUCGAGCUUUAAAUCAGAACCCCGAGUAUCAAGGAUAUAGGCCAAGAAUGCUUCAUUGCCUUUGCGUAAUAAUCUCUGAGCAGAGAGAGCUGAAAUAAUUCUGACUGUAUCGCCCAUAUUUUCUGACCCAACUGAGAUUACAUCUCCAGCAAUUACAUCAGGAGCCGUAGCUUCUUCCCUUGCUCGAAUGGCGUAGGUACGUGCUGGUGCUCUAUUCUCUGAUCGACCAACUGAUUCCCUCGUACCCGAACGGGUAGUCCCUGUAGCACUGCUCUGGCCCGAACGUCUACUUCUUUGAGGAAUGGUUCUCUGUAUCUCUUUCUGUUCCACUUCAUCUUUUUGCAGCCGGGGACAAUCUCGAAUAAGAUGAUCAGUAGCCCCACAUUUAUAACAAGCCCCCAUCUUAGUCUUGCAUUCUCCGAAAUGAUAUCUUCCACAAUAUUGACACUUAGGUCGUGAAGCAUUCUGAACACUGCUUACACUUGCUACAGGUCUAUCGAAUACCCUGAAAUCAGAUUGUCUUGGUCUAUCUCUGCCCGAUCUCCCCGACACUGAUGUAGUUCGAUUAAUUUCUUCUCUAGAUUUCUUCACCGGAAAAUCUGAAAAUGACUUAGAAGCACCUCUUUUGAAUGGCUCUUUACUUUUUCGAUCCCGCUGCAUUUUUCUGUUGUAUACUUCUUCAAGCUUUUGAGCACGGUCUGACAGAACAACGAACUCUCGUAUUUCAUUACCCCCAAUCAUCAUUAUAAUUUCAUCAUUUAACCCUUCUUCAAACCGGAUACACAUUUCUUCUUCAGUAGGUACAAUGUCUCGGGCAUAUUUGCUGAGGUAGACAAAUUCUCUUUCAUAUUCAGCUACUGAUUUAUUUCCCUGUCGUAGGUCGAGAAAUUCCCUUUUCUUUUUAUCCAAAUACCGUCUGCCCACAUAUUUCUUCUUAAAUUCAUUUUGGAAAAAUUCCCAAGAAAUUUUCUCUGCCGGAACCACAGCCUCGAUCGUCUCCCACCAACUAUAAGCUUCUUCUUUCAACAGAGACACAGCACAUCUCAAAUAGUCAUCUGGUGAGCAAGCCAUUUCUUUAAAAAUUCUUAUCAAACUCUGUAACCAAUAUUCAGCUUUGACGGGAUCAUCAUCAGUCCUUCCCCGAAAUUCUUCGGCUCCAAGUUUUCUAAGCCUUUCCAAUGGAGAACGCUUACUAGAUUCAGUCGUUGUAGGAGGUGGAGGAGCAACCGGGGGUACCAUCGAUGGAGCAAUAGGGGGAGGAGGUGGUUCAACCUGAUUUCUUUCUUGCCUCAUUUCAGUAUACCACUGAUUCAUAAUCCCAUAAAUCAUAUUCUUUAAUUCAUGCUCUCGCAUUUGGGAAAUCGAAACAUCACUGCUUGCUCUUUGUUCAGAAUUCUGUGCUCUACUGUUAACUUCUUCUUGAUCAGUACGUUCAGGUAAAUUUGACAUCUUUAUAAUCGGAGAGUAUCUAUAAAAAUAACAAAGAUUAGAUCGGAUCAUACACAUCACACUAUCACAGAUUUAUAUGGCAUGUAUUUCUAAACACUUUACACUUCACACAUAUUCCGAGGACCGGCUAAACCUGGCUCUGAUACCACUAAAAUGUAACACCCCUUACCCAAUACCGUUGCCGGAGUCGAGCAUGAGGCGUUACUUGACUUAACUUAAAAGUUCGGGGCAUAAAAAUUUACUUUCAAUUUAAUUUCAUCAUUCAUAAUAAAGCAGUCCACCUGUACAGCAGUCACUAAAAUAAUUAUAAUUCAAGCUACGAAACUCGAAAUUUAGAUCUGUAAAUUUUCCAUAAAACUAGACUCAUAUAUCUAUUCACAAUAAAUUUUUCAGAAUUUUUUCUUCAGCCAAUUAGUACAGUUUAUUAGUUGAAGUCUCCCCUGUUUCACUAAUCGACUAUCCUAACCACUCAUCACUAAAAUUUAAUUAUCUCUUAUUAAAGGCUUCAUAUGGUGAUUAAACUUAUUUCUACUGAAAAUAGACUCAUUAAGGAAUCUAUACAUAUAAAUUAUAACUCCUAAUUCCUUCUGUACAAUUUUUAAUGAAUUUCUAAAGUCAGAACAGGGGACUUCAAAAACAUUCUUGCCCUAUUUCACUAAAAUUCAAAUAUCUAAAAGUAUAUAAUUCUUUUGCUUACUCAACUUCUUUUAUAUGAAAGUAGACUCUUUCAGCUUUAAUUUCAUAUCUCACUCAACUUCUAAUUCUAUUUCCACUAUUUUUGGUGAUUUUUAAAAGUUACAUCAAUGCUGCUGUCCAAGAACUGCUCCAUUGCAAUUUUUUUUAAAAAAAAAUUCAAUAUAACCCCUUUAUAAUUGUCUAACCUUCCCUGCAAAUUUCAAAUCACAACCAAUUCCAGUAUUUCAUCUACUUCAUUUAAAUACUAAUUAAGUUCAACCAAUCAACCAUUUCAAACUAAAAACAUGUAUAUAUUUCGAUAUCUAACGCAACCAUAACAUUCAAAUUUACUUUUACUUCAAUUCCCUAUACAUGCCAUAUAAAUCCAAAAAGUUGCUUAACAUAAACUACCGGAGUAUAUCUGGAUAGUGUGAUUCUUGAUGUAGAUCCGAUCCUCCGAAUGUAUAAAUACGUUAAUCUACAAAAACAAUAAACACACACAUGUAAGCUUAUAGAAAAGCUUAGUAAGUUCAUAGGCAUAAAACAUAAAUCUUACCAAACACUUGCACACUUAUACAAUAUACACCAUUACUAAAUUUACCUGUCAACCACAAUCUUUGGUGAGUUCCUUGGUAUAAACUCACUACUACUUAUUCUUUUACCAUAAUUCCUUUGGGCCCAUUUGUCACUUACCAUUCUUGAUCAAAAUUAAGGAACGGUUAUGGAAAUUUGAGUACUUCACUUUCACUUUGCCAUAUGACCUCUUAUCACUUGUCCUUGAUCAGAUAAGUGUAGCUAGGCUACCACUUAUCACUUUACCACUUGAUCAGAUAAGUGUAGCCACUUAUCACUUUGUUUCUUGAUCAGAUAAGUGUAACCACUUAUCACUUUGUUUCUUGAUCAGAUAAGUGUAACCACUUAUCACUUUGUUUCUUGAUCAGAUAAGUGUAGCUAAAACUACCACUUAUCACUUUGUCACUUGAUCAGAAGUACUCAAAUUCGACGUUCCACUUAAUUUGAUCAUUUAUUCGAUUUUCACAUUUUUAUUUUAUUCUCAUUUCAACAAUAAAUACAUUCCACCAUACAUUGUAUAAUUCAUGAAAUUAACAUUUAAUUAUUAAAUUUCAGCCAUAUGAACUUACCUGGAUCGAUUUGCAGAAUUUGUAAAAGUUCAGGGACUAAUCGGCUACUUUUUCUUUUCCUCGACUUGUUUCGGGUUCUCGAUCUAAAAUGCAAAUUUAUUCAUUCAUCAGCAUUUAAUUCAAUUCUAAUUCAUUUCACAAUUUAUGCCCUUUAAUUUUUGAAGUUACACUUUUACCCCAAACUUUACAGUUUUUACAAUUUGAUCCCUACUCAAUUAACCCCUCAAUUGAUCUAAUUUUUCUCAAUUAACACCUUUUCCAACUAUUUUAGACUACUACAUAGCCUUUCAUACUCAAAACCGCAACACCAAACCUUAAUUCCCAACUUUUUCACAAUUAGGUCCCUAAAAUCAAUUUCUAUCAAAAUUACUUAAUAAAAUCAUCAUAUAACAAAAUUAAAGCUUCAAUUCCAUGUUUAUUCAUCAUAAAAAUCCAACACUCAUCAAUGGUAACUUUCAAAAUCAGCCAUGGAAUCAAAAACUAAUGAAAUAAUUAGUUGGACCUAAUUGUAAAAGUAUCAAAAUCACAAAAAUUAGAAGAAAUAAUCAAGAAUUAAACUUACAUGAUUCAAAAAUAUGAAAAAACAGCUUAUUCCAGACCUCCUAUGGCGUUUUUGCUGAUAAAUUGUGAAGAGAUCUCUAGAUUUUUCACUUUUGUCUUUGUUUUAAAUGUUUAAUUUGUUAAGUUUCCAAUUUUGCCCCUGUUUCUCCUUACAUUCUGCUGAUUUUUCUUACCCAACCGUCCAGCCCAUAUAAUUUGGGCCUAAUAGCCUUUUAAAUCCCUCCACUUUAGUCACUUAAGCUAUUUAAUCACAAUUUAACAAAUUUUACACUAUUCCCAAUUUAGUCCUUUUUAGUUAAUUAACUAUCCAAACGUUAAAAUUUUCUAACGAAACUUUAAUACCAACUCAAUGACACUCUAUAAAUAUUUCUAAAAAUAUUUAUGGCUCGGUUUAAAAUCUUCGAGGUCUCGAUACCUCGUUUUUUUUUUAAUUAUUUUAAUAUUUAUUCCUAGUACACUAUUCACUAUUUCAAAAAUUUUCCUAACUUCACAUUUAACUUAUACUUACUAAAUUUAUAAUAUUUUCUACUCGUUUGUCAGAUUUAGUGAUCUCGAAUCACCAUUCCGACACCACUAAAAAUUCAGGCUAUUACAUGAACCCUAAUUCGAAUUCUUCUGAAGAGUAAUGAACUGUUCAUUUGUGAACUUUGAAAGAGUUUGAAUUAGUAUAUAAGAGUUCCGAGUUUUUACAAUUGAGUAUCAUCGAAUGUAAACAUUAAUGGAAUUAUUGAUAUGAGUGGUCAUUAGAAGUUAAUCUUAUGGCACCAGCUUUUCCGUUAGAAUACACAGGACCGAAGGAAUCCGAAAGGUGUUCAUUUUCACAAUUGAUAGGGAAAUCUAGGGAGUAUUUUAAGGGAGAGAAUCGUUCUGGUUUUAUCCCUAGUUACAGGCAUGCGGUUGAGACCAUGGGUGAAUCAGAAGGGAUUGGGAGCUCAGGAUGGAUCGUUACAGAAAUGACAACAUCGGAGGGUUCAUAUGCACCUAAAAGGAAAUGUAUUGGUUUGAAUGCUGAUAGUUACAAUAAUUUUGGUGUCCCCGUGCAAGCAUUGUUGUUGUCAAAGAUGUCAAAAUCUGAGAGAAAGAAUUUUGAGUUGAGAUUAAAAAUGGAGCUUGAACAGGUUCGGUUGUUACAGAAGAAAGUUGUUAGUUUGGGCUCGAGGUUAGAUUUUUUAUCUCCAUCUAUAGAUAACAGGAGUUGCAGUGAUGGGAAAAAUAUGCCUUUGCUCAAUAAUUUUAAUCAGUCUCGAGCAUCGAAUUCACAAGGUAAGAAGCGACCUCUUGGAGGACAUAAUGAAGUCCACUCAAAGAAGAGCACAUCAGGACGAUUUGAACUGAAGCUGGUCGUUGCAAUGAGUAAUUCGAAUGCUUACUUGAUGAAGCAAUGCGAGACUUUGCUCAACCGUUUGAUGGAACAUAAUUUCGGUUGGGUUUUCAACAGCCCUGUUGAUGUGGUGAAGUUGAACAUUCUGGAUUAUUUCACUGUCAUUAAGCAUCCCAUGGAUUUCGGCACUAUGAAGAAUAAGAUAACUUCUGGACAGUAUGCUAGUCCAUUGGACUUUGCUGCUGAUGUUCGCCUUACAUUCUCAAAUGCAAUGACAUAUAACCCACCCGGAAAUGAUGUCCACAUUAUGGCCGAGACGCUAAGUAAAUAUUUUGAUGCAAGAUGGAAAGCUAUAGAAAAGAAGCUUCCUAUAACCAUGAAUGUCGUUGAUGCUAUGCCUUCAUUAGCAACAGAGCACCUUAUAGAAGUUAAAAGGAAUAGUGAUAUUUUGCCUAUGAAAAAGAAAAAAAUAACCCCAAAAGAAAGUAUUCUCAAGUCAGAGCCCGUUAGACAGAUGAUGACCGAUCAGGAAAAGCAGCAGUUGAGCACAGAAUUAGAGUCUUUAUUGGGCGAGUUGCCUGAAAACAUUAUUGAUUUCCUUAAAGAACAUAGUUCUACUGAAGGUCAAACGGGCGAGGAGGAGAUUGAAAUUGGCAUACUUUACCUCCUCUAUUUUCAUUAUAUUACUCAAGUUAGGGGAAAUCCAAUGUGGCCAUUUAAACCAUUAAAUCCGAACACGUGAAUAAUUAAUCCAAUUUAUUUGACCUUGUGGAAUUUCCUUUUCUUUUUCUUGAUAAUAAAGCACUUCCUCCUUUCUUUUUCUUUAUUCGUUUCUCUUCCUUUCCUUAAAAAAUGAGUUAAUAGCAUUGGACAUCCCCAAACUAUGUCCAUCAUUUUAAAUUGGUCUCAAACUUUAAAAUAUUCUAAUUACAUCCUCAUACUAUUAAUAUUAUAUCAAUCAGGUCCUUUUACUAUUAAAAUCGUUAAUUUAAUCAUUAAAUGACUAGUCAAAUCGCUAUAGGUAAAUUUAAAAUGAAAAAAAAAUUAAAGAAAUAGAAUGUUAUUGCAUAGUUUUAAAAGUAAAAAUAAAAAAAGUUUUGUAAAAGUUUUGCUCAAAAAAAUAUUUUUAAAAUAUCUAUUUUUACAAUAUUCACUUUAAAUCAUGUCACAUAAGAUCUGAUGUAUCAUUGGACAUUUAAAUUAACAAUUUUAGUAAUGAAAUGGCCUAAUUGAUAUGGUCUCGAUAGUUUAGGGAUAUGAUUAGAAUGAUUUGAAGUUUAAGGAACAAUUAAGAAUGAGAAUCAUUGUUUGGUGCAAUUAACUCUAACAAUUUUUACUUUUUCCGACCAGAGUGAAAACUUAGGCGUUGCAAGAACGGCUUUUCGCCGCUCACCCCAUCGACAUUCCUCAAACCAAUCCCACAAUGUCGUCAAAACAUUUCUAUAAAUGGUAAUGAAUAAUGAAAUAUUUCCAGAUUUGGAAAUGUUGAGCAUCUAGCAAUGUAUUGUUCAUCACUAAUUUGAAAAUAACACGGAUUUUUGAGAAACUUUCAAGAGAGAUAGAAGUUCCUAAGACGCCAAAAAAUGGCUACUCCGUUUAGGGGACAACAAUCGGUUUAACCAGUUAAUUCAGUUGUUUUUUAAAUCGAUUUAAUAAAUUUUAAAUGAGAAAAUUGAUCUGACCGAUUUAAUUGAGAAAAUCGACUAAACCAAAUCGACUUUAAUUCAGUUUCUGUCAUUUUUCAAUUAACUAAUAUUGAGUUAUUGGGUUGGGCUUAUAUGGUUAUAUAUCUAUGAUAUAUUAUAAAAUACAAAUAUAUAUAUUGGUGAAUAAAUAUAAAUAUAUUUUAAACAAUUUAAAAUUAAUAUAAAAAUUUUCAUUGAAUCAGUUCUAAGAUUCAAAAAUUGAUAAACUAACUGAAUUAGCCAAUUAUACUAAGGUCAAAACUAAUCAAUUUACCUCACCCAACUAAACCAAAAUUGAAAUAAUUGAAUGGGUCGACUUUUUUAUUUUUUGAUUAAAAUCGAAAAUUGCUCUAGCUUCACUUAUGGUUAACAUCUUGGACUGGUCCAAGAUUCUUAAAGUAGAGCACAAGGAAAAUGAUUGCGAUGAAGAUUAUGGUGACCGAAAUGUGGCAUUAACGGUGCCAGAGAAACGAACAAUGACGAAUUAGAGAUUUUAGUGUCGGGCUUUCAAUGAACCUUCAACGUGUUCGGUGAAAACAAAGUUGACAAAUUGAAUGAGGAAAAAAAGGGAGCCCGGGUGGCUUUUGAUUGGAGCUCCGACACCCGAAUAUGAUGGUGGGAGUAAGAACAAAGUGAGGUGGCUGGGGUUUUACUCGGGAUUUGAGAUAUGUUGAUAAAGAAUAAGAAUUGGGAGAAAGAUGACGUUGUGAGCUUGGCUAUACAAUGACAGUGGUGAACGGCAACGUCGACAACGUUGGUGCAGCACCUAAAAUUUCACUUUGGCUAGAAAAGUUGGAUUUUAAAAUUCAUAUUGGCAAAUGACUUGGAUUAAUUGUUCACGCGUAUGGAUUUAAUUGGUUUAAAUGGCUACAUUGGGUUUCUUUGAACGGAAACGAUUAGGGGCUAACUUAGUCACUGGAAUGAUCGAAAAAAAUAGUAAAAAAAGGCCAAAGUGAAAAUUUUCCUAUGAUACAAGGGUUAAAAUGGGAUUAAACCUUAAAAAAUUACAAUUGUUUUCAAUUAGUUAAAAAAACUUACAAUCAUUAAUAUCAAAAUUAAAAUAAAAUUUAUAAAAACUAUUUAAAAUAAAAAAUUAGAAGGAGUUUUAAUUAAAGGUCUAAAAUUAUAAAAUUUAUAAAAACUAUUGCAAAUAAAAAUACAAUAUUUAAUUAAAGGUCUAAAUUCAAAUGCACCACAAGUUAGAUUUUAAAAUUUAUUAAAACUGUAUAAUUUAUUUCAAAAAAUUAAAAUGAAUUUUAAAUCAAUUUAAAGAAUUAUUAGAUUAAAAACGAGAGCCCUAAAAUAACUAGGUUAAAUUUAACAACAUAAUAAAAAAUAUUUUAAAAAUUAUUAACUUUUUUAAAACAUAAUAAAUAAAUGAAAAUGAUCUUAAAAUAAGGUUAAGGCUAUAAAUACUCUAUUCGUAUAAUAUUUUAAAAUUUUUAUGAUGUACAUUAUUAGAAUUAUAUUUAUAUAUGUAAAAAUAUUAUUUAAAAAUUAAAAAUAAUUAAAAAAACUUUUUAAUAGAAUACGUUUAAAUUUAUUUUUCACAUUAUUAAUUAAAUUUCUAAAUUACGAAAUAAAUUUAUUUAAGUAUGUUACAGAAUUUGGAGCAAAAAAAAAGUCAUUUUCGAUCAGUAGAAAAAAGUAUCCAAAAUUAAUCGAUCAACGCCGCUGGGAUGUCCAACUUUUUCUCCAAGGCGGAGGUGACAAGCAGCGGCCGCCCUGUCCUCCUCCGCAACGAAGUCGAAUGCCACCUUCUCUCCGCUGUCGACCUCGAACCUGAAGACCACCGUCACUUCUCCCUCUUAAAAUCGGGUCUCCUCAUCCUCACCACCCACCGCCUCAUCUGGCUACCUUCUUCUUCCGCCUCCACCCCUACUUCCGCCUCAGCCAUCCCUCUUGCUGCCAUUUCCCACGUUUCUCUUCCAAAAAAUCUCUCAAGUCCGUCUUCCACUCCCCUAGGAUACGCUUCUAAGUCCUCGUCUCGUCCGAUGGUCGGGUCUUCGAUCUAGGUUCCGGGUCUGGUUCCAGUUCAGGUUCGGGCUCGAGAUCAGUCGUAGUAACGGCAGUGAUCAGAGGGAAGUGGGACUGUGAUGGGUUUUUGGUGAAGUUUUGGGACAGUUGGCGGGCGAGAGCUUGGGAGACUACGGAGACUUCAGGUUCCGGCUCAGCUUCGGUUUCGGGUUCAGGGGCAGCCACAGGAACCGGUGGAGGGUUGUACUUGAGUGAUGGGUCGGUGAGGAUGGUUGGGGUGGCGGGUAUUUUAAGGAAGGAGCAAGAAAUGUGGGAGAGUAUUGAUAAGAGUUUGCAGGAUGCUUUUCAGGACUUAAAUGCUCUCAUGGUAAUGCAGAUAAUUUGUUCAAUUCUGGCCAUUUGGAUUUAGUUUUUAUGUAAAUUUUGUAUCAUAAAUACUUUUAAUUUCCUAGUAGUUAACAAAUUGCAUUGAAGAAUAUAGCAUCUACUUGGUUUAGUUCCUGCUAUGAUUGACAUUGGUGAAUGCAAGUGGACCAUAUCUUGAUUUAGGAUAUAAGAAAAUUAAACUUUUGUGUCAAUGCCAUGUAUAAAAUGAUUUGAUUAGGCUUAGUUUACUUCUGUCGUUUUAUCGCAAAGAUAGGUUCCGAGCUAUAGUUAAUGAAUAUGAUGUUAGUAGUCUCUGUCUUUUGCUUGUUUUCUUACAUUCCAAUCAUUCAAGUUUUAGAAUGCUUUCGGGUUUUCAGAGUAAAGCUAAAGAGAUGGUGAUGCUAGCAGACAAAAUGAGACAAAAGCUUUUGUCCGGAACGAGUUCUCAAACAAGUGGAACAAAUGAUGAGGAUAUGGGUUCAAAGGAAGAGAUGCAAGAUUGGUUGUUGAGUGUUGGCAUAAUAUCCCCAGUCACUAAAGAGUCUGCAGGUGCUCUGUACCAUCAACAAUAGUCCCCUCAGGUUCUCGUCUCUUCUCUUUUCCCCCUUGUUAGUUUUAAUUUAUUCGCUUAAUAAUUUUUCUCAACAGAGUUUAGUUUAUCAUUCUGUUAAUACAAUCAAUGUUUAUAGAAUUCAGGAAUUCUUUUAUGGUUUAUUUGGCUCUAAAGAAAUCCUUGAGUAAGACGGUUUUGUAGUUCAGGAUUAGUUGAUUACAGUUUUGUGAUUCAAGACUUCGAUGACAAAAUACUCCCAGAAGAUAUUUUACUUUUUUUAUUUUGCUUUAUGCUUGCAUAUCCCAGGGAUUCUUCAAUGAAAAUAUAAAAUUAGUCAUCCAAAAUUUUAUUUUUGAGUUGGUAAAUGACUUGCUAUGUAUAGUAGAUCGGCUUUUGGCUUUUACUUGAUUUUCUUUUGAGAGCUAGUUUUGAUUUUAUUUCUUGGCACCUCAGCUGGCAGAUUUUGUGAGAAUUCCACUGGAGAGAGCAGGUGGAAUGAUCAACCUUAUGGAUGCCUAUUGUCUCUUCGAUCGUGCUCGUGGCACAGGUUUGGUUUAACACUAACUUCAUCUCUUGUGGUCAUUGUAUUUAGGUUGUUUAGUUACCUUGUGAACUUGAAAUUUCUUAAUCUAAUUUUUGUUGUUGAAAAUAUUAUGACCUACAAAAUAAGUGUUUUGGCCAACAUAGUUCUCCUUUCUUUUCAAAGGAAAAAGGAAACUUUCAAAAACAUUAGAGUAGUAGAUCUUUAUGUAAUUAACAUCUAAAGCUACAACAUUUAAUGGAGGCUUGAAAGUUGUUAAGAGUUGUUUGAAGUUCUCUUUAUAUUUCUCGGAUGCUAAUUUUUUUUUAUAUCUUUUCCAAAUAAAUCAGACCGAAACUUCGGUUUCCAGCGGCCUACAAUGUUUAAUUCUUUCGAAGUUGCGGUAAAGAGAAGAUGUAUUAUCUCCAUUAACAUAUUCUUCUUUUUCAUCAUCAGUCCCAGAUUGUGGCAUAUCUCCAUCAAUAUAUUUUUAAUAACUGUGGGCAUUUUCAACUUUGCUUAAUUAAGCCUGCCGGCCUUUUGUUGUUCUAAAUUCAUGUUGCACGCAUAACUCAAUUGUGAAGAUUUCUUUGACCUCACGAUCUUAUGUUGUGGUUGAUGCUAAACAUUCCUUUCUAGAACUGGCUAAAGUCUGAGAGGAACUUGGAAGCGCCAGGAGCCGUUUGAUCAUGAUCGAAGGGCUGAGAAGACGAGUCCUCCAGUGGCCUUUGAAUUUGAUUGAAGGACACCGCACGCUGCCCUGCUACUAUUUCCAUUUCCCGCUAUAUUCACGAAAAUUUAUGUAAGAAUAAAAUAAAAUUUUAAUUGAAAUGAUAAAGUUGAAGAUUUAAAAUUUAUACCAAUUUAAAUUCAAAUCCUUAUCAAUUUAUAAAAAAUAUACAAAUAAAACAUUUAAAAUAAUUUCAACUCGCUUUAAAAAAAUUUGAAUUGUAGUCCUUUUAUAUAUAAAAAAAACAGUAUUUGGGAAAAGAGGUUUUUUGAAGUUUUAAAAUAAUUUUUUUAUCUAUUUUUUUAAAAUCAUUUAAAUUUUGAUAUUUUUGUGAUAAUUUUAAAAUCAAUAUGAUUGCUCACCCUUGUGAAAGCUCAAAGUAUCAAUGUUAUACCAAUGACACCAAGGAAUUUGAAGAAUGUAUGUUAACAUUGAAUUUGUAUGGGCACUUUUUCGUAGGAGCAAAGUUUACUUAGUGUAAUAAUCAAUAAGAGAAAUAUUGCUCGACAGUAUGCAGAGUGUGAGAUGGUCAGUUUUUUUCAUUUGAUGUGGAAUUUCUUUCUCUAAAUCAUUGUGCUUUUUGGAUAGGAAUUGUUUUGCAUCACCUAAGCCUUUUAGAUAUAUUAAUUUAUAUUUUCGGAUAAUAGUUAUGAGUUUAUAGAAGGUAAUUAUACGUAUAAACAUUUUCAGUUAAAUAUUACUUGCUAUAGUGAAAUUUCUCUACGAGUUAAACGGAGAGAAGUUGAGAUGUAAGCCCUUUUCCUUUUGUCUGGUACACAGAAAAGCCGAAGACUGAAACUUUUAUUGUCAAUUGUCACAGCUCUCGACCCAGCCCAUCUGUCCUCGGAAGGUGAGAAACUCGCUGAGCGAGAAUAAAGCCUAUCCAUGCUAGAGAGGAUCACAGUUUGCUCCACUAAUAUUAUUCCAAAAAUCCAGCCCAUAAUCUCAUACCCACAAUUAGGUCUCCUUUGGUUUGGCUUUUAAUGCCAGUGAGGUGCAGUUGGGGUAAAUAACUGCUACCAACCUCACUGCUAUGCUGUUUGGUUCAGCAUGACAAUUUAAUGAAAAUGCAUUUCCACCACGCUGAUACGUUGAAAAUCAGCUGGAGAUUUCAGCAGCAAUUAAAAUUCACUAGGGUAGUUGGUAUUUUUAACAGACAAAAAUAUCCGUACAUUUAUUAUUUUACCAUUUUAUCCUUGAAAGUUAAACUAAUUUCUUUCCCAAUCUUAUUAAAAUAUUUAUAAUAAAAUAUUGGAAGAUACAUUUUAAUAUUUUAUUAAAUUAAUUUAUAAAUUCACAUAUUUUAAUAAUUUUAUAAAAGUAAAAUAAUUUUAAAACUUCUAUUAUAUAUCAAUUCUAAUCUGAUGUCCUUAAUAGUCAUUUUUUAUUCUCACCUCACCGCUACAGCUGCGUUUGAAUCUAAACACACACUCCACCAUUGUUUCUAAUCUCACUGCUACAGUAUCCAAUCUCACUGCUACAGUAACUAAUGUCACCGCCACCGCUGUUUUUAACCUCACCGGAGGUAAACACACCGCCCAUCCAACUAAGGGUGAGUUUGGAUGGGCGGUGCGUUUACCUGCGGUUAGUGUAAAAACAGCAGUGGUGGUGAGAUUAGAUACUGUAGGGAUACUGUAGCGUGAGACAAAAAGUAAGUUAAACGCACCGCACCCAAUCGCCCAUCCAAACCCACACUAAGCCUUAGGGUGAGUUUGGAUCGGCGGUGCGUUUACCUGCGGUUAGUGUAAAAAUAGCGGUGGCGGUGAGAUUAAAUACUGUAGCAAUACUGUAGCGUGAGACAAAAAAUAGGCUAAACGCACCGCACCCAAUCGCCCAUCCAAACCCACCUUAGUCCACUAACAGAAAAAUGAAAGAAGCUUCUCGUGCCUUGCAUUUCACAUUUGUAUUUCAAAGUAGAGAGACCCCCUAACUCUAUAUAUACUCUUCGUUUUCACAAGAAGAUUUUCAUCCCUCAGGUUCCAUCUUUUUUCUUCCCUUAUCGUCUUCCUUCUUUUCAUUUUGCAAUUCAAAAUGGUGAAAACAAAGGAGGAUGAAAAUGGGUAUGAUCAGACGUGAUGUAAAUAGAGAGCUCAAGGAGCCUAAUAUUAAACCCUAAAGUGCCUAUCCCUUUUAUUUGCUAAAGAAACCCUAACUCCGUACUUCUUCUCUUGCAGUGGUAGGGAACGAAGUCGAACUGUUCCACACAGCAGCCAUGGUUCGUCAAUCUUCCUCAUUUCGAAAACCUCUCUCCAAUUUUUUAUUAGAGAAAUAUUGAAAUUUAAUUCUAAUUUAUUUUGUUCCCAUUAAUUUUGCUGGUUUAAUUUGUUCUCUAUUUCUUAGGUGAAGUAUUCAAGAGAACAGGACACCCUACUAAGUGUAAGCUUUUAUUUUGCUUUUUGUUAUUACUAUCACUUGGAUCAAGCAUUACCUUCUAUUUGGUACCUGGGAAAAUAUGUAGGAAACUAAAAAAUGCAAUACUAUCUUGGAUUUUAUGGGCUUAAAAAACCGUGUAUUAGGGUUUCGCUUAAAUUUCAUUGAAAAAAAUGGAACUUGAUUGUUGGUUUAUUUAUUGACAUCUGUUUCAGCUUGCAAAGCUAGGGGUUUUGAUCUCGUGUUCAUUUAAGGUACGUUGAUCGCUUUUCAUCAAUUAUCUGUGGGUAUGAAAUGCUGAAUCCAAAUUAUUCAAAUACAUGAAAAUUUCAAAAAAAUAUUCAACACAUCGAAUCCCGCACACUCAAGUCCUAGUAAUAUAGUUUCGAUGGUAUUAAAUUAAUCGUGUGAACAAUUUACAUGUAGAUUACUAGGACUCAUAACUCCUNNNNNNNNNNNNNNNNNNNNNNNNNNNNNNNNNNNNNNNNNNNNNNNNNNNNNNNNNNNNNNNNNNNNNNNNNNNNNNNNNNNNNNNNNNNNNNNNNNNNNNNNNNNNNNNNNNNNNNNNNNNNNNNNNNNNNNNNNNNNNNNNNNNNNNNNNNNNNNNNNNNNNNNNNNNNNNNNNNNNNNNNNNNNNNNNNNNNNNNNNNNNNNNNNNNNNNNNNNNNNNNNNNNNNNNNNNNNNNNNNNNNNNNNNNNNNNNNNNNNNNNNNNNNNNNNNNNNNNNNNNNNNNNNNNNNNNNNNNNNNNNNNNNNNNNNNNNNNNNNNNNNNNNNNNNNNNNNNNNNNNNNNNNNNNNNNNNNNNNNNNNNNNNNNNNNNNNNNNNNNNNNNNNNNNNNNNNNNNNNNNNNNNNNNNNNNNNNNNNNNNNNNNNNNNNNNNNNNNNNNNNNNNNNNNNNNNNNNNNNNNNNNNNNNNNNNNNNNNNNNNNNNNNNNNNNNNNNNNNNGGGCAUAAAAAUUUACUUUCAAUUUAAUUUCAAUCAUUCAUAAUAAAGCAGUCCACCUGUACAGCAGUCACUAAAAUAAUUAUAAUUCAAGCUACGAAACUCGAAAUUUAGAUCUGUAAAUUUUCCAUAAAACUAGACUCAUAUAUCUAUUCACAAUAAAUUUUUCAGAAUUUUUUCUUCAGCCAAUUAGUACAGUUUAUUAGUUGAAGUCUCCCCUGUUUGCACUAAUCGACUAUCCUAACCACUCAUCACUAAAAUUUAAAUUAUCUCUUAUUAAAGGCUUCAUAUGGUGAUUAAACUUAUUUCUACUGAAAAUAGACUCAUUAAGGAAUCUAUACAUAUAAAUUAUAACUCCUAAUUCCUUCUGUACAAUUUUUAAUGAAUUUCUAAAGUCAGAACAGGGGACUUCAAAAACAUUCUGCCCUAUUUCACUAAAAUUCAAAUAUCUAAAAGUAUAUAAUUCUUUUGCUUACUCAACUUCUUUUAUAUGAAAGUAGACUCUUUCAGCUUAAUUUCAUAUCUCACUCAACUUCUAAUUCUAUUUCCACUAUUUUUGGUGAUUUUUAAAAGUUACAUCAAUGCUGCUGUCCAAGAACUGCUCCAUUGCAAUUUUUUUUAAAAAAAAAUUCAAUAUAACCCCUUUAUAAUUGUCUAACCUUCCCUGCAAAUUUCAAAUCACAACCAAUUCCAGUAUUUCAUCUACUUCAUUUAAAUACUAAUUAAGUUCAACCAAUCAACCAUUUCAAACUAAAAACAUGUAUAUAUUUCGAUAUCUAACGCAACCAUAACAUUCAAAUUUACUUUUACUUCAAUUCCCUAUACAUGCCAUAUAAAUCCAAAAAGUUGCUUAACAUAAACUACCGGAGUAUAUCUGGAUAGUGUGAUUCUUGAUGUAGAUCCGAUCCUCCGAAUGUAUAAAUACGUUAAUCUACAAAAACAAUAAACACACACAUGUAAGCUUAUAGAAAAGCUUAGUAAGUUCAUAGGCAUAAAACAUAAAUCUUACCAAACACUUGCACACUUAUACAAUAUACACCAUUACUAAAUUUACCUGUCAACCACAAUCUUUGGUGAGUUCCUUGGUAUAAACUCACUACUACUUAUUCUUUUACCAUAAUUCCUUUGGGCCCAUUUGUCACUUACCAUUCUUGAUCAAAAUUAAGGAACGGUUAUGGAAAUUUGAGUACUUCACUUUCACUUUGCCAUAUGACCUCUUAUCACUUGUCCUUGAUCAGAUAAGUGUAGCUAGGCUACCACUUAUCACUUUACCACUUGAUCAGAUAAGUGUAGCCACUUAUCACUUUGUUUCUUGAUCAGAUAAGUGUAACCACUUAUCACUUUGUUUCUUGAUCAGAUAAGUGUAACCACUUAUCACUUUGUUUCUUGAUCAGAUAAGUGUAGCUAAAACUACCACUUAUCACUUUGUCACUUGAUCAGAAGUACUCAAAUUCGACGUUCCACUUAAUUUGAUCAUUUAUUCGAUUUUCACAUUUUUAUUUUAUUCUCAUUUCAACAAUAAAUACAUUCCACCAUACAUUGUAUAAUUCAUGAAAUUAACAUUUAAUUAUUAAAUUUCAGCCAUAUGAACUUACCUGGAUCGAUUUGCAGAAUUUGUAAAAGUUCAGGGACUAAUCGGCUACUUUUUCUUUUCCUCGACUUGUUUCGGGUUCUCGAUCUAAAAUGCAAAUUUAUUCAUUCAUCAGCAUUUAAUUCAAUUCUAAUUCAUUUCACAAUUUAUGCCCUUUAAUUUUGAAGUUACACUUUUACCCCAAACUUUACAGUUUUUACAAUUUGAUCCCUACUCAAUUAACCCCUCAAUUGAUCUAAUUUUCUCAAUUAACACCUUUUCCAACUAUUUUAGACUACUACAUAGCCUUUCAUACUCAAAACCGCAACACCAAACCUUAAUUCCCAACUUUUUCACAAUUAGGUCCCUAAAAUCAAUUUCUAUCAAAAUUACUUAAUAAAAUCAUCAUAUAACAAAAUUAAAGCUUCAAUUCCAUGUUUAUUCAUCAUAAAAAUCCAACACUCAUCAAUGGUAACUUUCAAAAUCAGCCAUGGAAUCAAAAACUAAUGAAAUAAUUAGUUGGACCUAAUUGUAAAAGUAUCAAAAUCACAAAAAUUAGAAGAAAUAAUCAAGAAUUAAACUUACAUGAUUCAAAAAUAUGAAAAAACAGCUUAUUCCAGACCUCCUAUGGCGUUUUUUGCUGAUAAAUUGUGAAGAGAUCUCUAGAUUUUUCACUUUUGUCUUUGUUUUAAAUGUUUAAUUUGUUAAGUUUCCAAUUUUGCCCCUGUUUCUCCUUACAUUCUGCUGAUUUUUCUUACCCAACCGUCCAGCCCAUAUAAUUUGGGCCUAAUAGCCUUUUAAAUCCCUCCACUUUAGUCACUUAAGCUAUUUAAUCACAAUUUAACAAAUUUUACACUAUUCCCAAUUUAGUCCUUUUUAGUUAAUUAACUAUCCAAACGUUAAAAUUUUCUAACGAAACUUUAAUACCAACUCAAUGACACUCUAUAAAUAUUUCUAAAAAUAUUUAUGGCUCGGUUUAAAAUCUUCGAGGUCUCGAUACCUCGUUUUUUUUUUUAAUUAUUUUAAUAUUUAUUCCUAGUACACUAUUCACUAUUUCAAAAAUUUUCCUAACUUCACAUUUAACUUAUACUUACUAAAUUUAUAAUAUUUUCUACUCGUUUGUCAGAUUUAGUGAUCUCGAAUCACCAUUCCGACACCACUAAAAAUUCAGGCUAUUACAUGAACCCUAAUUCGAAUUCUUCUGAAGAGUAAUGAACUGUUCAUUUGUGAACUUUGAAAGAGUUUGAAUUAGUAUAUAAGAGUUCCGAGUUUUUACAAUUGAGUAUCAUCGAAUGUAAACAUUAAUGGAAUUAUUGAUAUGAGUGGUCAUUAGAAGUUAAUCUUAUGGCACCAGCUUUUCCGUUAGAAUACACAGGACCGAAGGAAUCCGAAAGGUGUUCAUUUUCACAAUUGAUAGGGAAAUCUAGGGAGUAUUUUAAGGGAGAGAAUCGUUCUGGUUUUAUCCCUAGUUACAGGCAUGCGGUUGAGACCAUGGGUGAAUCAGAAGGGAUUGGGAGCUCAGGAUGGAUCGUUACAGAAAUGACAACAUCGGAGGGUUCAUAUGCACCUAAAAGGAAAUGUAUUGGUUUGAAUGCUGAUAGUUACAAUAAUUUUGGUGUCCCCGUGCAAGCAUUGUUGUUGUCAAAGAUGUCAAAAUCUGAGAGAAAGAAUUUUGAGUUGAGAUUAAAAAUGGAGCUUGAACAGGUUCGGUUGUUACAGAAGAAAGUUGUUAGUUUGGGCUCGAGGUUAGAUUUUUUAUCUCCAUCUAUAGAUAACAGGAGUUGCAGUGAUGGGAAAAAUAUGCCUUUGCUCAAUAAUUUUAAUCAGUCUCGAGCAUCGAAUUCACAAGGUAAGAAGCGACCUCUUGGAGGACAUAAUGAAGUCCACUCAAAGAAGAGCACAUCAGGACGAUUUGAACUGAAGCUGGUCGUUGCAAUGAGUAAUUCGAAUGCUUACUUGAUGAAGCAAUGCGAGACUUUGCUCAACCGUUUGAUGGAACAUAAUUUCGGUUGGGUUUUCAACAGCCCUGUUGAUGUGGUGAAGUUGAACAUUCUGGAUUAUUUCACUGUCAUUAAGCAUCCCAUGGAUUUCGGCACUAUGAAGAAUAAGAUAACUUCUGGACAGUAUGCUAGUCCAUUGGACUUUGCUGCUGAUGUUCGCCUUACAUUCUCAAAUGCAAUGACAUAUAACCCACCCGGAAAUGAUGUCCACAUUAUGGCCGAGACGCUAAGUAAAUAUUUUGAUGCAAGAUGGAAAGCUAUAGAAAAGAAGCUUCCUAUAACCAUGAAUGUCGUUGAUGCUAUGCCUUCAUUAGCAACAGAGCACCUUAUAGAAGUUAAAAGGAAUAGUGAUAUUUUGCCUAUGAAAAAGAAAAAAAUAACCCCAAAAGAAAGUAUUCUCAAGUCAGAGCCCGUUAGACAGAUGAUGACCGAUCAGGAAAAGCAGCAGUUGAGCACAGAAUUAGAGUCUUUAUUGGGCGAGUUGCCUGAAAACAUUAUUGAUUUCCUUAAAGAACAUAGUUCUACUGAAGGUCAAACGGGCGAGGAGGAGAUUGAAAUUGGCAUACUUUACCUCCUCUAUUUUCAUUAUAUUACUCAAGUUAGGGGAAAUCCAAUGUGGCCAUUUAAACCAUUAAAUCCGAACACGUGAAUAAUUAAUCCAAUUUAUUUGACCUUGUGGAAUUUCCUUUUCUUUUUCUUGAUAAUAAAGCACUUCCUCCUUUCUUUUUCUUUAUUCGUUUCUCUUCCUUUCCUUAAAAAAUGAGUUAAUAGCAUUGGACAUCCCCAAACUAUGUCCAUCAUUUUAAAUUGGUCUCAAACUUUAAAAUAUUCUAAUUACAUCCUCAUACUAUUAAUAUUAUAUCAAUCAGGUCCUUUUACUAUUAAAAUCGUUAAUUUAAUCAUUAAAUGACUAGUCAAAUCGCUAUAGGUAAAUUUAAAAUGAAAAAAAAAUUAAAGAAAUAGAAUGUUAUUGCAUAGUUUUAAAAGUAAAAAUAAAAAAAGUUUUGUAAAAGUUUUGCUCAAAAAAAUAUUUUUAAAAUAUCUAUUUUUACAAUAUUCACUUUAAAUCAUGUCACAUAAGAUCUGAUGUAUCAUUGGACAUUUAAAUUAACAAUUUUAGUAAUGAAAUGGCCUAAUUGAUAUGGUCUCGAUAGUUUAGGGAUAUGAUUAGAAUGAUUUGAAGUUUAAGGAACAAUUAAGAAUGAGAAUCAUUGUUUGGUGCAAUUAACUCUAACAAUUUUUACUUUUUCCGACCAGAGUGAAAACUUAGGCGUUGCAAGAACGGCUUUUCGCCGCUCACCCCAUCGACAUUCCUCAAACCAAUCCCACAAUGUCGUCAAAACAUUUCUAUAAAUGGUAAUGAAUAAUGAAAUAUUUCCAGAUUUGGAAAUGUUGAGCAUCUAGCAAUGUAUUGUUCAUCACUAAUUUGAAAAUAACACGGAUUUUUGAGAAACUUUCAAGAGAGAUAGAAGUUCCUAAGACGCCAAAAAAUGGCUACUCCGUUUAGGGGACAACAAUCGGUUUAACCAGUUAAUUCAGUUGUUUUUUAAAUCGAUUUAAUAAAUUUUAAAUGAGAAAAUUGAUCUGACCGAUUUAAUUGAGAAAAUCGACUAAACCAAAUCGACUUUAAUUCAGUUUCUGUCAUUUUUCAAUUAACUAAUAUUGAGUUAUUGGGUUGGGCUUAUAUGGUUAUAUAUCUAUGAUAUAUUAUAAAAUACAAAUAUAUAUAUUGGUGAAUAAAUAUAAAUAUAUUUUAAACAAUUUAAAAUUAAUAUAAAAAUUUUCAUUGAAUCAGUUCUAAGAUUCAAAAAUUGAUAAACUAACUGAAUUAGCCAAUUAUACUAAGGUCAAAACUAAUCAAUUUACCUCACCCAACUAAACCAAAAUUGAAAUAAUUGAAUGGGUCGACUUUUUUAUUUUUUGAUUAAAAUCGAAAAUUGCUCUAGCUUCACUUAUGGUUAACAUCUUGGACUGGUCCAAGAUUCUUAAAGUAGAGCACAAGGAAAAUGAUUGCGAUGAAGAUUAUGGUGACCGAAAUGUGGCAUUAACGGUGCCAGAGAAACGAACAAUGACGAAUUAGAGAUUUUAGUGUCGGGCUUUCAAUGAACCUUCAACGUGUUCGGUGAAAACAAAGUUGACAAAUUGAAUGAGGAAAAAAAGGGAGCCCGGGUGGCUUUUGAUUGGAGCUCCGACACCCGAAUAUGAUGGUGGGAGUAAGAACAAAGUGAGGUGGCUGGGGUUUUACUCGGGAUUUGAGAUAUGUUGAUAAAGAAUAAGAAUUGGGAGAAAGAUGACGUUGUGAGCUUGGCUAUACAAUGACAGUGGUGAACGGCAACGUCGACAACGUUGGUGCAGCACCUAAAAUUUCACUUUGGCUAGAAAAGUUGGAUUUUAAAAUUCAUAUUGGCAAAUGACUUGGAUUAAUUGUUCACGCGUAUGGAUUUAAUUGGUUUAAAUGGCUACAUUGGGUUUCUUUGAACGGAAACGAUUAGGGGCUAACUUAGUCACUGGAAUGAUCGAAAAAAAUAGUAAAAAAAGGCCAAAGUGAAAAUUUUCCUAUGAUACAAGGGUUAAAAUGGGAUUAAACCUUAAAAAAUUACAAUUGUUUUCAAUUAGUUAAAAAAACUUACAAUCAUUAAUAUCAAAAUUAAAAUAAAAUUUAUAAAAACUAUUUAAAAUAAAAAAUUAGAAGGAGUUUUAAUUAAAGGUCUAAAAUUAUAAAAUUUAUAAAAACUAUUGCAAAUAAAAAUACAAUAUUUAAUUAAAGGUCUAAAUUCAAAUGCACCACAAGUUAGAUUUUAAAAUUUAUUAAAACUGUAUAAUUUAUUUCAAAAAAUUAAAAUGAAUUUUAAAUCAAUUUAAAGAAUUAUUAGAUUAAAAACGAGAGCCCUAAAAUAACUAGGUUAAAUUUAACAACAUAAUAAAAAAUAUUUUAAAAAUUAUUAACUUUUUUAAAACAUAAUAAAUAAAUGAAAAUGAUCUUAAAAUAAGGUUAAGGCUAUAAAUACUCUAUUCGUAUAAUAUUUUAAAAUUUUUAUGAUGUACAUUAUUAGAAUUAUAUUUAUAUAUGUAAAAAUAUUAUUUAAAAAUUAAAAAUAAUUAAAAAAACUUUUUAAUAGAAUACGUUUAAAUUUAUUUUUCACAUUAUUAAUUAAAUUUCUAAAUUACGAAAUAAAUUUAUUUAAGUAUGUUACAGAAUUUGGAGCAAAAAAAAAGUCAUUUUCGAUCAGUAGAAAAAAGUAUCCAAAAUUAAUCGAUCAACGCCGCUGGGAUGUCCAACUUUUUCUCCAAGGCGGAGGUGACAAGCAGCGGCCGCCCUGUCCUCCUCCGCAACGAAGUCGAAUGCCACCUUCUCUCCGCUGUCGACCUCGAACCUGAAGACCACCGUCACUUCUCCCUCUUAAAAUCGGGUCUCCUCAUCCUCACCACCCACCGCCUCAUCUGGCUACCUUCUUCUUCCGCCUCCACCCCUACUUCCGCCUCAGCCAUCCCUCUUGCUGCCAUUUCCCACGUUUCUCUUCCAAAAAAUCUCUCAAGUCCGUCUUCCACUCCCCUAGGAUACGCUUCUAAGUCCUCGUCUCGUCCGAUGGUCGGGUCUUCGAUCUAGGUUCCGGGUCUGGUUCCAGUUCAGGUUCGGGCUCGAGAUCAGUCGUAGUAACGGCAGUGAUCAGAGGGAAGUGGGACUGUGAUGGGUUUUUGGUGAAGUUUUGGGACAGUUGGCGGGCGAGAGCUUGGGAGACUACGGAGACUUCAGGUUCCGGCUCAGCUUCGGUUUCGGGUUCAGGGGCAGCCACAGGAACCGGUGGAGGGUUGUACUUGAGUGAUGGGUCGGUGAGGAUGGUUGGGGUGGCGGGUAUUUUAAGGAAGGAGCAAGAAAUGUGGGAGAGUAUUGAUAAGAGUUUGCAGGAUGCUUUUC